rnacentral:lncRNA from 1 species
AAACACUAAGUCCGUGACAUUUUAUAUCAGAGCCGGUUCGAGCGAGGAACCAUGUCGUCAUCUGAUGCGGGAAUCGUCGACGUUGGGGGCGAACCUCCAAAGCAACCCUCCAAGUGAAACAAGAGCAAAGACCCUGUAAGGAAGUGAAUUCUCGAAAUCUGAGAGUUAUACUUCAUUUAGAAUUUGCUACUUGUCGAGUGGGUAUGCUUCGAAAAGUGCGAAGACAUCAAAAAAUGCAUAAAGUGCAUUGAGGAGGACCCGCGAGAGCAAGCUGUGCAAAAUCUGCACAAGUUGCAGGUUUUGUGCUAUCGGGGACCGGUCCCCUCCUCCCUCUGGGAGGGGACCGGUUCUCGUAAGCAUGUGGGGGUUGAGUUGAUGCUCAACCUGCCCAAGUUGCUUUCGGGGACCGGUCCUCCUUAAGAGGGACCGGUCCCUGUACGCGUGUAAGGGUUGAGCUAAAGCUCAACCUGGCGGAAUUGCUCUCGGGGACCGAUCCUCCCUUAGAGGGAUCGGUCCCCGUAGCCCGAAAUGCCUAAGUAUGGGCUGUCACAAAGUUGGAAAGUUGAGGGGGUUUUCAGCAAUUGUGCAUUAUAAGUGUUGCUUGGGGGCUACUCCUUUCUCAUUUUCCCUUACACCUAACCCUAAUAGCUCUCUCUCUCUCUCUAAGUGCUCUUCCCCUCUCUCUAGAAGGUGAAGGAGGAGAGGGCUUUGGUGAAGACUAAGAUCAAGAGAAGGAUCAUCUUCUUCUUCUUCUUCCUCUUAGGCUUGGAGGCUUGGAAGGUUCAAACUCUUUAAUGGCAUAUCUCUUGGAUUCAUCUUUUAUACCCUAGAAUUGAUUUAGAUGGGACCUAAUGGUGUUAAUUAGAGGUUCGAUACUAGACUCUAGAGCUUGAACCAAGGGAUUUUGUUAUUGUUGAAACCCAGGGCUCCAAAAUGGGGUUUUGGUAAAUUUAGAGUUUUGAUCUAAGUUGGUCGGUUGUAAACCUAAUUGCUAGGUAUCUAAACGCGUUGGCGGUGACGGUUCGACUAUUCGUCGAGUUUGUGUGUAGGUAUCGCCAAGCGAAGAGCGUUUCAGCUUCGUUUACGCUCGAGAGGUCGAAGCGGCGACGGGUGAUCAUGAGAUUGGGUUUCCUACUGCGUAGAAUCGCCAACAGGUAGGCGCACUACAAAAAAUCAUGUAUUUCCCGGCAGAAUUUUAGAGGCGGUUGUAUCAACCGCCUCUACAAAAUUGGUACAUAUAAUUCAGAGAUACUAUUAGGGGCGGUUUUAAAAACCGCCCCUAAUAUGUUUUUUUUUUUUUUUCAUUUUCCCUCCACAGCCCCCCCUCCCCAAAAAAAAUCCUAAUCCUUUUAUCUCCUUCCCAAACCCAAAAAAAAACCCUAGCCCUCUUCGAUCUGGCAUGGCCACCCCACUCCUUUUCGCAUCAGCCGCACUCUCUUUCCCUCCGAUGAGGUUGGUCGGCGGUCCUUCGCAACUCUUUUUCUCUCUCACACACGACGAGGUCUCGAGGGUACUGGAGCCCUUCGCAGCACUCUUUCCCUCUUCGCACGGAAACCUCCCUCGCGGCGCUCUCCCUCGUCGCCCUCUUCGCCACUUCCGCGUUCUACUCCGUGGCCAAGGCUCUCACCUUCUCCAAAGAGAGCAUCGUCGAUUCCCUCAAUAAAGGCAUUGUUGCUCCUUCACCCUCUCUCUCUCUCUCUCUCUCUCUCUCUCUCUCGGUCUCGCGAUAGGAAUGUUGUUGAGUAAGAAAAAAAUAAUUGGAUUUUUUGUACGAUUUAGGGGAGUAUAAAUAAGCAAUUUUGAAACCUUUAAUGCAAAAUUGCCGAAUCUUUUCGAACUUGUUUUGGUUUUUAUAAAAAUAAGAGGAAUUUCUAGAGCAAAAAUAAGAUUUUAAGCCUCAAAAAUCAAAGCCUUGCUUUGGUGCUUUUAUUUUUGCUGUAGAAAUAAGUUACCGAGGGUAGUUUAAUGUGUACAUAUAUAUAUAUAUAUAUAUAUAUUGCUCUAGUGUUCAAUAUCCCUACUAAGUUUAUGCGAAUUGCUAGAGAACUCUUCUUAAAUUACAUUGAAACUCCUAAGAGGAUAACAGUGAGGGCCUCUACUCCAAAACCCCUUUCCCUCCAAAAUCCCUUUUUCUCUAAAAGUGAAGUGAUUAAUUGAAACCCCUUUUUCAGAUCUGUAGAUUUGUUGAAACCCGAGCAUCCAAGCUUUAAGGUAUUCUUCUCCAAUUCUUUCCCUUUACUUUUGUUCAAAUGGAUAUUAAAUAGUAUUUCAUUCUAUUUUUUUUUUCCGAUCUUUGUUUAUUUUUUUCUGGGCAUCAAAUUAUUUUUUUAUAAUUUCUCCUCUAAUGUGGGUUUUGGGAUCUCAGUACUAGCCAUGAAAAUUUAGUUUUUUGUAAUUCCUCCUCUAAUGUUGGUUUUUUGUCGGAUCUUAUAUCUUUUGGUGGGUGUUUAAGCAAAUCGAAGGUCGAACUAAGAGUCCCGAGUAAUCCCUAUGGGAAAAUAUUAGAUCCAUCUGAGAAGAAGAAACAAGGAUUAGAAACUUCAUCGGUGAGCAGAUAUAACUUUACCAAAUUAAGGAAAAUUGUGCCUCUUGCAUAUAUACUAUCUCGUACACCGCAUUCGCUAUAUUCUUCGUAGUAAGGAUAAUGUAAUGGCUAAAUGAAUAAAGCAUUGUUGUGUUCGUGAACGUAGACAAGGGUGAAUAAUAGGGGCAGCAGGACAACGAGUGACGGGAAGAAGAAACGAUCAGAAGAUAGUUCAGAAACACUUGCCAAGAAAAUUAAAAGCGAGAGCCUGACCGCAACAUCUCUCAAGGUAAUUGGUUUAACCUAUAUAGGAACAUAUCUAUAUACAUAUCUAUAUAUAGCUUCUAUUAACUUUUGUUUCUAACUUGCUUAAUUCACCAGUUAUUCGAAAAGUACUAGCUAGUUAGAUUUUUAUUUUCAAAUAGGUUGGAAAAUUUUAGUAACCCAAGUUUAAGUGCAUUUUUUAAUCAAAUUAUGUACAUGUGUUCAACUUUGAUGGAAUUCUCUCUCCCUCUCUCUCUUGAGGAAACAGUUGCAGGUGCCCAAAGUAAAGCUAACAGAUAAGAUCACUGCAUUACAGCAAAUUGUGUCACCUUUUGGAAAGGUAAGCACUACAUAUACUUAGUUGUAAUUAAGCAAAUAUUAUGUUUUCACUUUUGAAUUAAAAAGGAUAUAUAUAUAUAUAUAUAUAUAUAUAUAUAUAUAUAUAUAUAUCUUGCAAUGUUUUCAAGUUUAACUUCUCUAAUUUCUCUUAUGUUUAAACUAUCAUAUUAUAACAAACUGAUCACUUUUGAAUUAAAAAUGAUNUUCUAAUUAGUGACACCUCACUCAAAGCUUGUUCCAUCCAUGCAUGAAAGAUUAUUUUAUUUCAAGAACUGAUAGUGCAUAAUAUACUAAUAUUUCAAGGGAUAAUAACACACCAAUGAUUGGCAAAAGUAUAUGAGAAUAAUGAUCAUGGUCAUUAAUUACAUGAAAAAUAAUAUGUAUAGCUAGAAGUGGAAGCCCUUAAUAUAUAUAGAGUAGAGCUCCUGUGCUUUUAAAAGCACAGGAGCUCUUGUGCUUGGCAUUUUUUUACCAUCGGAUCGGCUUCGCUUCGAGAUUCGUGUGCAGUUAGUGGGUGGAACUAAACGGCAAGGCAAAGAAUGGCGUGAACCCCCCUCUCUCUACACGUGAACCCCCCUCUCUCUCUUCUCUCUGGCAACCCACUACCUCUUUCUCUCUCUCUCUCUCUCUCUCCCUGGCAACCCACCAGAUCCAUUCUUUUUCUUUUUUCUUUUUUUUUUCUUUUUCUCCUUCCAUCUCUCUUCCUCUUUUUCCUUCUCUACGGUGGUGGUCCGACGCUCCGACGACGCCACGAUAGUAAGUCGUGCGCACCUCCGCGCCAACGCCUUCCGGGCUGCGCGCUACAAUUUCGAUCCCGGACGCGCCCCUCCGCGUCGACGCCUUCCAAGCCACGCGCUACAGGAUCGAUCCCGGACGCGGCGGGCUACAAGAUCAAUCGGAAGGCCGCGCGCUAAAGGAUCGAUCCCGGACGCGGCGUGCUACAGGAUCGAUCCCUGACGCCAUUCUCGGGAAGAUCUCAAAGGUAAGCGUCUUGGAUCUGUUUCUUGUUGUUGUCGUUUUGAUGUUUUGAUCAUUUUCUUUGGUGGUGACGGAGUGGAAAAUACAUGGAUAAUGGCCCCAGUUGCUUGGAAUGUCAAUGGGUACGCUAAUCAGUGGUUAUUGUAGGAAAGGUGAUAUGGUGGAUGCUUUUAACAUGAGAGAUGAGAUGCUACAUAUGGGUUUCAAUCUGACAAUCUAUACAUACAACACUCUUAUAAUAGGGUCAUGUAGAAAAUGGGUUAUGGUGUAUUAUUUUAUUUUGUUAGUUAUGUUUGUGUUGUUUAUCUUGAAGUAGCACUAGGUUGGAAACUCCUACUAACACCAAAUUAGUGCUAUCAUAUUUAGAUGAUUUUAUCUUUGCUUAUCUAUAUUGAGUUAACUCUCUCUGCUAGGCCUAAUGCUUUUGCUUAUAAAUGACUAUAGGACUAUCAUCUGAGUGUUGGUAUUCUAUACUGUUGCUAUGAUUGUUGAAUUCAAAUUUGUUUCUCUUCUGAUUGUAUCCAUAAUGCCUUUGUUUUGGUGGUCGUUUGGAGAUUAAUUGUUACCUUUAUCGAGGUCUCUCAAUUUUCAAACCAGAAAUAGUUAAAGCUUAUUAUGACAGUUUAAGUGCUUCAUAAUUGAUAUUCCAAAGUCUUAUGAAUUUUAUUUACUACUCAUUUGUCAUAUUUCAUAUAGUAAGUUAUCGAUUUUUUUCUAUUAUUUGAGCUAUUUUUAUAAUGUUAAUUUUUAUAUUUAUAGGGGUUAAUUAAAUGAGGGAAUAUGGCUCUACAAUUGGUUCUUCUGUUUCUUUGUGCAAUAUUGAUGUUGAAAAUGAGGUGAAUGAGGAAUUGGAACAAAUUGCUACUGCUGAACAAAUAUGUAUGAGCACACAACCUAUUGAAGAGCAACGUGUUGGUUUGGAAUUCAACUCUAUAGAAGAUGCUAAAAAGUUCUACAAUGACCAUGCUUUUAAAAUAGGGUUUAGUAUAAGAAAAACAUACCAUUAUAAGGCAAAGAAAUAUGAUGAUGCCAUCACAUCUGUAACCUAUUGUUGCUCCAAAGCAGGUCUUUCUAAAUCCCAAACUCACGAGAAAAGUCAUUGCCAAAAUUCAGAAGGUAGCAAUACACCUAAAAAGCAAUUUUCUAAUCGACGAAGUGGUUGUAAAGCUCAUAUUGUAUUGAGGAUAGAUGAUCGAGGAAAAUGGGUGAUUACGGUGGUGGCGAACGAACAUAAUCAUGAAUUAAUCGUUAGUCCUUCUAAAAGUCGAUUUUUUCGAUCGCAUCGUGCUAUUACAAAGGAGCAAAAAGAAUUAAUUCAUAUGUUGAAUGAACAGAAUAUUUCCACUUCACAAAUUAUGGCCUUUAUGCAAGCAAGAGAGGGAGAAAGACAAAAUAUUCACUUCACUCGCAAAGAUUUAAGUAAUAAAGUUGCUGAGAAAAAUAGAAAUCUUAUUGGAAUAGAUGUAGCAAGUGCGCUUAAUUAUUUUCAUGAGUUUCAAUCUAAAGAUUCGUUAUUCUUCUAUGUUAUUGAUGUUGAUGACCAACAGAGGGCUCAGAACAUAUUUUGGGUAGAUGGAAGAUCAAGAUUGGCAUAUGAGCAUUUUGGCGAUGUUGUCACUUUCGAUACAACUUAUAUGAUGAAUAAAUAUAGUAUGCCAUUUGCUCCUUNUCAAUGCUUGAUAAAUAUGAAUUGCAUGAAAAUAAUCAUCUUCGGUUGCUAUGGAAUAUUCGACAUCAAUGGAUUCCUGCAUAUUUUCGAGAUACUUUCUUUGCCAAUAUGUCUACGUCACAACGUAGUGAAAGUAUAAAUGCCGUGGCAAAAAUAUGGUUAGAUGCGCAUACAUCAAUAUUCAAGUUUGUCAUGCAAUUUGAGAAAAUGACACAUAAUCAAUAUGAGAGAGAGGAUUUAGAGGAUUUUAUGACAAAGGAUGGAGAGCCCAGUUUAUGGUCAGAUGAUCCAAUUGAGAAAGAUGCACGCCGCAUAUACACAAGAAAUAUUUUUUCAGAAUUCAAGACUCAAUUGAGGGCGACGACGGGUUAUAAGUUGAUUGAGUUGGAAAAAGAUUCACUAUACAAGAUCAGCCCUAUAUCACACUCGUCCAGUUCAAGACAAUGGAUGUGCACAUAUAUAGUGACUGUUGUAAGGUCCAAAAAUAUAGUAUCCUGCACAUGUAAAUUGUUUGAAUUUUAUGGCCUCUUAUGUGCUCAUGCGCUUAAAGUAAUGCAUUACAUUGAGAUUUAUAACAUCCCACCUCAUUAUAUAUUAAAUAGGUGGACUAAGAAUGCAAAAAAGAGAAUACCAAGCAAUAGUGCAGAAAUGAGUGGUGGUUCCUCAUUUUGAAGAUCUCGAAGGUUUGAUUCCCUUACAUUAGAAAUGCAAAAAUUUAUCUUUGAAGGUUCAAAAAGUCUUAAGGCAUAUGAAACUGCAUGUCAGAUAAUUAGAGAAGAAAUUGAUACACUAACAUCAAUUAAUCAAAUGUUUGAAAGUGAGGAAGCGACAAUCAAGGAGCCUUCAAGUGGUCUUCACAGAAUCGUAAUUUCACAAUCAAGCCAAGUAAAUAUGCUUGUAUUAGAAUGCACGAUUAAAGAUCCUCCUCAAUCACAAUGGAAAGAGAAAACCACAAAGGUUUAAGCCUCCCAUUGUCACGCCCCGGGGUCCCUUUUUAGUUUAAAGCAUAGCGGAAAAGCGUCUGAAAUUUUUUUUUUUUUGAAAACCUGACCCCAGGGUAUGCCAGAUCCGCCACAAAUACAGAAGAUCCACUGUUCACACGGACAGAGUCUCCCCUGUAUUUGCACGGCGUCGCACAAGUACAAGAGUUCAAACAUGAUACAACCACAACCAGAUGAACAUACAAAUAACCACAGUUAUAUAUUCAUACACCAUUCACCACAGGUUCACAUUUUUACAUUCAAUAUUUAAAAUAUAAAUCCACAUCUAUCAGUUAAAAUGUUUCCAACCACAGAAACAAGUUUUGAAAUACUAAGAUGCAAAAUCCAUAGAAAACCUUUUGAAAACUGUUCCUACACAAGAAUUUAUUCUUUAAAAAAAAGCUAUCCUACGAGGGUAAAAACCUUUUUAUUUUAACAAAAUCAGGAAUGUCCGUUUAUACAUUCACGAAUAAAUGCCUAUUUUCAAAUGUGUAAUAAAAUACUGCCCCAUAUAACUAUCUAAACUAUAACAACUGAAAUGAUAUAAGGGUAAUAACUAAACGAAAUACCGUGGGUCGAAGCUCUAUCGACCGCUGUACAACACGUACCUCACGUCUCGUCCCACUACUCAUGCCUCGCGAAUACCCCUAAAAAAUGGUGGACGGAGGUGAAGAAAAUUAUAAACAUGGUUCUCCUCUACCAGUGGGUCAUGCAUAAGCCGAAGAAGGCGAGGAGCUACUUCCCGGAUCAGGAGGAGCUAUAACAACAACACGGGUGAAGUGGAAAUAUAGUAGCAACAUUUAAUAACGAUAGAGAUCUGUAAGGUAAUGAGUCAGAUAUAAUCGACAUACAGUAACAAAAACUGAAGAAGCAAGAACUAGACUGAAUAACGGCUACCGCUACUGUAGACUGGAACGAAAGCAAUACAUGAAUUCUACUGUAUAGUAGCAUAAGACAAUAUAAAGUAAAGAACUGUAAAUAUGCAUGCAACGACUGCUACGAAAGACAUAAUACGGUUCAACACGGUCCCAAGAAUCCAAAAGUACCAAAAUCUGAAACCAAUGCUCUCUUGGUCGCAACCGCAGACCUCAAAGCCACUGCGCGACUACUAUCUCCAGUCAUAUAACCCCUCUAGGGCUCACCAGGUUUCACGCAUCUCAACGCACUUUUCCAGAAUAAGAACACUCCUUGCGGUGGAUCAGACGCCAGUGUUCGUGAAUGCGGACGAGUAUCGGGGCGAUCAAAUACAAUAUGCUCAACGAUUGAUCACGUCGGCAACCAUCCGACAAUCCUCGCACGCCGAGGCCCAUCGACGCGCAUAGGUCGUCAACUUAUAAGAAGCACAAGAACCGACCAGUCAGGUCCAACUAGGAGGGACAAUCAUCGCACAUCCCUCUCAAAUAUGCAAAUACUGCUCAAUGAACCAUAAGGACUGACCAAUCAGAUCCAACUAGGUAGAUAUGAAACUCGACAAUCACGUCACAUCGUACAUGAUAUGAAACCUCGACCAAUUGCACGUCACAAGUACAGGAUAUGAAACUCGACCAUCAUGUCACAAGUAUAGUGAUAAAUGAAACUUCGAAAAUCAAAACCCGUCACACAGUCUAGGAUAUGAAACUCGACCCAAUCAUGUCACAAGUAUACGGAUUAUGAAGUAAAGUAUUAAUCAUCCGGACGGCAAGCUAACCGCAACCCCCCUCAGGGUAUACCGACGCUCACACGGUCAUGCAGACAAUCAAAGGUCGAUGAACUCACCGAAUAAGGUCACAAAUACUGAAAUACUAAAUCGACCGACUAGAUCGCUAACUUCUCAAGAUAAUACAGAAUCGCUCUACUAUAAAUAUGAAACAGGGUAUGCAGAAUAGCUAAGUAGAGCAACAAGGAAACAUGGUAUCACAUACAGAUAGACUAUACUCCUACACAUGAUACUAAGCAUGGAAACAUUUGAGUAGAGUAUAAUCAAACAACGUGGGUGUAAUGUAAACAAUAGAGGUGCAAAGCUCAACAUAUAAUAUAAGCAUGGAUAAUACAAAAGAGCAAGGGUAAGAAACCAUCACCAAGCGUGCACCACUGUACCAACGUCGGAUCGAAGUACCCACCUGUACAACUGUCGCGCCUGUCUUCUGACUACAAAAGAACGUCAACCGGACCUAAGGAGGGUCCACUGGGUUAGUGUCUAACCCACAACUAAGAAACCCUAAAAGUAUAACCCCACAAACAAACCCACGGAGAUCGGUUUUCCAAUACCGAUUACCGUAACUCGCCGGAAGUCCCGAAAAUCGCACCGGGACUCCGCCGGGACCCACUAACUAUCCCGGAAGUCACCGACUCGUACCACGAGUCACCCGCUGCCCCUAAAUAUAAUUUACGUGUGACUUGGCAGUAGAGACCUUAACUCACUCCAAAACGAUUAUCGUCGGAUAAUCGUUCCGAUCCGAGUUCCUGGAAGUGUCUAUUUCGACACCGGAACCCACCGUCGCUCACCCGUCAUUUCUGAACUCUUGAAAUGACGCGAGUGACCAGCCAACAAGGCUCAGCGACUACACAAAAGCUCACAAAGCACCGUCGGAAUAAUUCCAAACCAAAAUCGCGUUCCGUCGGCGGAUUUUGCCGACAAACGCACCGAAAAUACAUUUUCGAUCCUCGCAAAGGUCCGGGGCCUUGGACAAUCAGUCCAGAGGUUACCCACAAUUCAUCCAUGCUGCCAACAGCAGCCGCAACAACCUAAAAUACAUAAAAGCUCUCCCGAUUACCCGAAAUCGCAUUAUUUCAUGCGAUUUCGGCGCUUUUAUGGUCUGUCCAUGCGAACCAAGAGUCAUUCAGCCAAACCGAGACACCUACUAACAGGUCUCGGCGUGCCGGAGGCCGUGCUCAACUUUCGGAGCAAUUCCGGCCACUGUGGGGAGCGCACGAGCGACGCGAAAUUCAGUAAACUGCGCGCAUAGUAUGAAAAUCAUGCUUAUCUCGAUAACCAGGGGCUCGCUGACCCUAAUUGAGGUGAUCACUGUGAUUAGCACUGACUGACGAUCACCGUGCUCACUUUCGGAGGCAUCGGAACAGCCUCGGGUCGCCGGAACAGUAUACACAACUCCAAACAGUGCACAAUAAUUGCAAUACAAGCUUACCAGAGCUAGGCAGGGUUCGGGGUGGCCGGCCGCCGCCGGCCGGCGGGAAGGCUGGCCAGGGGAAGGUGCUCCAGGUCAGAGGAGGCCGGGGCUCGCGUCAUCAGGCGACGGGAGGCGGCGACGACGGCGGGCAUUGAUGCCCUAGCCACCUAACCCGAGGAGAGGACGGCCCAGAUCCGGCCAACAGGGAACUCCGGCGACAGGGAGGCCGGCGGCGGACGAGUGCUGCCGGCCAGGCGGAGCCUAUGCUCACGCCGGCCGGCGGCGGAGGGCGGCGGCGGCGGUGCUGGGUGCGGCUCGGCCUGCACAAACCUUGCGCGGCCGCAGGGAGAGGGAGCGGCGGCGGCGGCCACUGAGGCGACCGGAGGAGGGUCGGGGCGACGGCGUCACGUCGCCGGAGGCCGAGGAAGGGUGGCGCACCAUGCUGCGGGCGGUGGCGACGCGCAGUGGUCGAGAUGACCAGAUCUCGGCCCGCACAAGCCCUGGGCGGCCGCAGAGAGUCGUAGCAGCGGCCGGCGGCGUGCGGAGACGACAGGGCGGCGACCGGGAUGUACCAGGAGGGCGGCGCGGCCAACGAGGAGCAGCGGCGGCGCGCGGAGGCGGGAAUCACCCGGGCUCGGCCUGGGUGAUUGCGGGUUGGCCGCAGGGAGCAAGGUGGCUCCGACGGCGCACGGGGAUGGCCGGGGCCGGCGAAAGAGACGGGGGAGAUAUGUCUCGGCCGGGGGACACUGGUGCUCGAGCUAGGGUGGCUUCUUGGGUCCGCAACCCCAAUGCGGUGAAGAGUUUGGCCGAGAGGGAGAGAGAGAGAGGUGAUGCAGGGAAUUCCGGCGGCCGGGGGUGCUCGCCGGCGGCCGGAGCAUGCGCACGGGGAGGGCAGGAUUGCAGGUGGGGCGGCUAGGGUUAGAUGAGAAGAUAUGGGCAGCAAAAGGAUCUUAGAAACCCUAGUUGCCACCUAUAUAUACUAGAUGCCAAUUGCAAGAAACCCCCUCAAAGCCACAUAUUUUCAGUUAGGUCCCCCACCAGCACGUAUAUUAUGUGCAUAAGUUCCUCUACGUUCAAGUUUGUGCAAAACGGUGCAUAAAAUAUUGGGACUAUUGCGAAAUUCCCGAUUUGCCAUAAUCUACCCCUUUCCGGAUAUCAUGCGAUAUCCGGCAAUCCGUUCAUCGGAUUUCCGAACGGAUUGCACCAUCGCGUUCAGCACGGCGAAGGCAUCGAAACCACCAUUUCGUUUCAUCCGAUUUGCUUGCCGAUUUGCGACAAAAUCCGACCUCUCUCCAACUAAUCCAUAUAUCACACAUAGGCCUUGGUGGAAACCCGAAAUCCAUUAAUUCAAACUCGUAUUUGAAUUCCCUACCACCAGUAGGUACUUGAAACAUCUCUCACCCAUCUCUAGAUCACUUAUACAAAGCACGAGGAGUUUUAAAAUGCACGAAUAGCAAAGAGCGGAAACCCUCUUUUCUUAAAACUCCUUUUUCUCUAAAACCGUGCAUCGGAUCUGAAAUCCGUCAGUGCCAUUGGUUCCAAAAUAGCUGAACCGUUCAAAACGAUCUAUUGGAUCGCUAUGAACGGAGUCCGAUACGCACCGAAAGCCAACUCUACUCCGUGGCUUCUCCGGAAAAUCGGAGUUACUAUUCACUUAAGUGAAAACUAAUAAUCGCGUAACUUCUCCGUUUAAGCUUCAUUUUCUCCUGAAACUUGACGAGUGCUUAUGUAAUUAAAUUACACACAUAAACAUCAUCAACAGAGAGUUUAGUAGCACUGUAAAAAAAUCUCAGUCCUUACACCCAUUGAAAAAAAGGUUACGGUGCCAAGAACUUGCAAGCAAUGUGGUAAAAAAGGACACAAUAUUAGGACUUAUAAGGAGGUAUAAUAAAUUUCUUUUCCUUUAUUUUCUUCAAAUAUUUUUACAUUCCUUAUUAUUCACAAUAUGCUAAUAUUAAUAUUAUUUGCAGAUUGUUGAUGAAGUACCAUCUAACGAUCUAAGUUUUAGCGAGAGACUUGAAGAAACCGAUGACGAAGAGACUUGAAAGUAAGAACAAAUCAGUGUUGCAUUAAUUAUACUAUAGUUAUAUUAGAGCAUUGUUGUAUUAGUUGAAUUGUGAUAGUUUGGACUGUGGUUGUAUUGUAUCUUACUUUUUUUUUGUGGUAGAGUAUUGUUGUAUUAGUUGAAUUGUAAUAGUUUGGACUAUAGUUGUGCUGCUUGUGUUUACGAACAAACAACCUUGUUUUAUCAUUCUACAGGCUUAGAUGUUACCCAAAAGGAUUCUUCUUGCUUGUCAUGUUUCUUUUGCUAAUGAAAUCCAUUAUCCUUGGAGAUGGUAUUAUUUGUGUUGUACUAGAUGAUGGUAUUAUUUGUGUUGUACUGAAAUUUAUUUGAAGACCAUAUUUAGUUGCCUUAAAUGUUAAUGCUGGUGUCUUGUUGUUGACUAUGAUGACAUUGUGGAGAACAGUUGCAUGAUGAUAAGUAUGCAAUGUCAAACCCUCUUACCUCAAUCUAUCACAACGGAUGUUCCUUAAUUAUUUUAUAGAUGACACAUUAUAAACAUAGAUUAACACAGUGGAUUCAUACAUCUCAAAUUAACACAGUGGAUUCAUACAUAAACAUCAAGGUUGGUUCAGAAAUAAAAGUGAGGAACUCUAUCCUACAUACACCUCAAAUGAACACAGUGGAUUCAUAUUACAUUUAGGCGAAUAGAAGUUUAAUACAUAUAAUUGCUAAAAUGAAUACAAUAAAAAUUUUUCUUUCGGCUUCAAUUCUUUCCACCAUUGCUGUUGUCCUUGUAGAAGCUUCUUCAACUCUAUUUUUCAGAUUCUCCAUUUGCUCAACCAAACUAGAUAACUUAUAGUUUAUGCAUUGAAGCAUCUCUUCAUUUGAAGCUUUUGGAGAAGAUGCUGCUAGUUCACGGUCUACACUUUCCUUCAAAUUUAAAAGAGUGGAGCUUUCUUGUUCUAAAAGCUCUUUGGAUUUCACUUUAUCGCACCACAUGAAAAAAUCACAAUAGUUAUCGUUAUUCUUUUCAUAAUUUCGACAUCCAUAAAAUUGUCUUCCUUUACUUCUAGCUUGCUGUGAAGUUCUUAUUAUAGCUAUCUUAUUACAUUUGCACCAAACUGUUCUAUCUUCAAUAAAAGUUGUAGUAGAUGCCAUCAAUCACUCUGCGCAAAAUAUUAAAAUUAACAUGUAAAUAAAUGAUAAUGCUGCAGUGAAGUUCAAACACAGGAGACGGUGAAGUUCAAACACAAGAGACGCUAAACGAUAACUAUCACACUAGACCAUUAGAUAGCAACAAGCUCUAAUGACUAAAGUGACCUUAUAAAGUCCAUUAAAGUAAUCAUUCUAUGCAAUUACUUUUCAAUUAUAUAUUCACAAAUGCCUUGUUAUCAGACAAUAGCACUACAUCAUUAAAGCACAACCAAAUAAGUAAUGUUCAAUUCAUAGCUAUAAAUAAGUGUUUCAAGUUAUAUCCUGCAUUGUCUUUGUGUAAAGUUCCAAGCAUAUCAAGGACAGUUCCAUUAGCUAGAACAACUUCUAGUCCUGGAAAGCAAAAUGAUAUGUACCAAGAAGCAAAUACACAUUAUAUAUUAUCUAAAGGAGAUGAUCAGAUGAUAAUAAAUUUUACCACAAUGGAGGUUUUAUCACCUCCAUUAAGUUAGGCUCAAAAGAUAAUAAUUUAUGAAAACAAGUUAACAAUCCAUUAACAGAUAGGUAGAGCAAAAUAGUGAGAAAAGGAUUAAGGACCAAAACAAAAAGCUCUUAAUGCACUAACAUUUUAGUUAGAUUCACAUUUAUUAGAUGAACACUUUCUGCUGCAUAAAAGAGAAGCAAGAGAUGAUGAUACCUUUAAUUUUCAUUUGGCUUUUACAGUUUUUAUAUUUGGAACAUAACAAAAUGACAAAGUAAUGGCUGAAUAAAUGCAUAUAAUGCCAUCAUAAACAUCAAAACAUCAAAACGAUCAAAACAUCAAAACGACAACAGGAGCUCAAUCCAUGUAUUAUCUUACAGUUUUUACAUUUGGGGCCAUUAUCCAUGUAUUUUCCACCCCGUCACCACCAAAGAAAAUGAUCAAAACAUCAAAACGACAACAACAAGAAACAGAUCCGAGACGCUUACCUUUGAGAUCUUCCCGAGAACGGCGUCAGGGAUCGAUCCUGUAGCGCGCGGCCUUCCGAUCGAUCUUGUAGCCCGCCGCGUCCGGGAUCGAUCCUGUAGCGCGCGGCUUGGAAGGCGUCGACGCGGAGGGGCGCGUCCGGGAUCGAAACUGUAGCGCGCGGCCAGGAAGGCGUCUGUGCGGAGGUGCGCACGACUUACUAUCGUGGUGGCGUCGUCGGAGCGUCGGACCACCACCGUAGAGAAGAAAAAAGAGGAAGAGAGAUGGAGGGAGAAAAAGAAAAAAAAAAAAGAAAAAGAAUGGAUCUGGUGGGUUGCCAGAGAGAGAGAGAGAGAGAGAGAGAGAGAGGUAGUGGGUUGCCAGAGAGAAGAGAGAGAGGGGGGGUUCACGUGUAAAGAGAGGGGGGUUCACGUCGUUCUUUGCCUUGCCGUUUAGUUCCACCCACUAACUACGCACGAAUCUCGAAACGAAGCCAAUCCGAUGGUAAAAAAAUGCCAAGCACAAGAGCUCCUGUGCUUUUAAAAGCACAGGAGCUCUACUCUAUAUAUAUUAAGGGCUUCCACUUCUAGCUAUACAUAUUAUUUUUCAUGUAAUUAAUGACCAUGAUCAUUAUUCUCAUAUACUUUUGCCAAUCAUUGGUGUGUUAUUAUCCCUUGAAAUAUUAGUAUAUUAUGCACUAUCAGUUCUUGAAAUAAAAUAAUCUUUCAUGCAUGGAUGGAACAAGCUUUGAGUGAGGUGUCACUAAUUAGAAGGGAAAGUUGUGUUGCGGGAGUAUAUAAUAAUUUUAAUCUGUUACUAGCUAGUAAAUAAAUACAUAGAUCCAAAUGUUUGUAUGCUGUACUCUUGUUACAAGGGAAACUCAUGCAAUGCCCACUAUUUUCAUAUAAAUUUAAAAUCACAAUAACAAAUUAGGACAUAGAAAUAGAAAUAAUAAUGGAUAACUUAUGUAAGUCAUGAAACUUAAAGUGUUAUUCUAGUUUAAGUAAUUUCUUUAAGUUAUGUGACAUCAAAUUAAUCACAAACUGUGAACUUUGUAUGCUCCUUGCUGGUUAAGUUAAUUCCUUUUUAACUUCGAUCUUAGUAGCUUCAGUAAGUGUUGUUCGAAAAUCAUUUCUUGACUUUUUUGCUAACUAAUUAAAAGCUCUAUAUUUUUUUAAAAAAAUUUUGCCUGAUGCUUAAUUUCUACUUGUGGAAUAGAACAAAUUAUUUUUUUGGAAUUAAUUCUACUUUCAAGAGUUGAAAAAAAAAAACUUGUUAUACUAAAUUAUCGACUACGUAACUUCUACUUACAAGACCGAAUCCAAAACUAGGCAAAGUAGAGUUAAGUUCUUAACUUAUAAGUCACAUUAAACAACACAACUUUUUUGACUUCAUAUCUACUUUCAAUAUCAUAUUUCAAAGAUUGAUUUUAUUAUUAAACAUAAUUUGAUAUUUACAGUUAAUGAAACUCAAUUGUUCUUAGUUAUCACUAUUCAGUUACUGUUUUUGACCAGAUUUAAUGAUUUUGAUCUGUUUUUGAUAAAUAUGACUAUGCCAAUAUCAAUAUCCUACUUAAAAUAACACUCCAUAUGCUAUUAUGAAAUUUUUUGGGUACUUAAAAGCAUUGCUCACUCUUUUCUUAACCUUAGUAAGAAGUUUACACGUGUGAUUCUUUUUUUGGAUGUUAGUAGUUGACAAAUAAUUUGAUAUAUUUUCUUCUAAGAGGAUACUUGAAAUAUAUAACUCAAUUAAUCACUCAUGUUCCAACUUAUUAAAAUAUAUGUUUGACCCUCUAGCUAGGUUCUAUUUAUUAACUUUCUUUAGUAAAGCAAUUGUCAUAAUUCUUUCAUCAGCCUUGUUGGAAAAAUGCAUGAUGUUGACCUCAAUACAAAGUUGAUUAACUCAACUUCUUGCCUUAUGGAUGAAACAUAUAGGUAUUUGUCUUUUUUUUUUCAGUUGUUUAAUCACAUAAAUAGACAAGAGUUGGAAGACGAAACCUCGAAGCAGUACUGAAUAUAAAGGAGGAGUCAACAAAUUUCUUAAUUUUGCAUUUCAAAUGCAUCACAUGGUGGCAAAAUUAUGUGUCCUUGUAUUCGUUGCGUUAAUUGCUCUUUCUAAACAUAUGAUGUUGCUAAAGUACACUUGAUAUGCGAUGGAUUUUUAAGAGGAUAUACUCGUUGGAUUUGUCACGGAGAAGAUCCUAUAACAUCAUUAUCCUCUACAAACCCUACUGCAUCUUCCACCUCUAAUCAGACCUCUUAUUCACAAGCAAACACAAGUAGAUUAGAUGACAUUGAUGGUCUUUUGCAUGCAGCUAUAGGUAUAUUUAGUGAGGGAGCUAAUGAGAUAAAUUUAGUUGCAAAUGAAACGAAUGGAGAACAAUCUAGUGGAUUUGUUACUAUAGAGCAAGCUAGUGAAGAGGUUGAUGCACAGCAACAUACAAAAAGGAAUGAUGCAGAACAUCAUAGAGGAAGCUCUUCUAGGGAAACAAGCGAGUUUUUAAAGUUUUUAAAAGAUGCAAAUGAAGAGCUUUAUCCUGGUUGCAAGAAAUUUUUAAAAUUAUUAUUCAUAAUUCAUUUAUUCCACUUAAAAUGUUUAAAUGGAUGGACAGGAGAAUCAUUUAGCAUGUUGCUUGAGCUAUUGAUUGAUGCAUUUCCAGAAGGAACUUCAUUGCCGCGGUCCACAUAUGAGGCAAAAAAGGUCAUCAAGGCUUUAGGACUUAGCUAUGAAAAGAUUCAUUGUUGUCCAAAUGAUUGUAUGCUAUUUUUGGGUGAGAAAGCAAAUGACGAAGUGUGUUAUGUAUGUGGUUCAUCUCGAUAGGUUAUCAAAAAACAAGUAGAUAAAGAAAAAAAAACUCAGGAUAAAAAAACAAACAAUGUUCCUAUUAAAAAAAAAAGCCAGCAAAAGUGCUUCGAUACUUUCCAUUGAUACCACGACUUCAAAGGCUUUUCGUAUCCACAAAAAACAACAAAGGAUAUGAGAUGGCAUGAGGAGGGUCGUGUAAAAGAUGGAUUGUUAAGGCACCCUGCAGAUGGUAAGGCAUGGAGGGUAUUUGACGAACGUUAUCCAGAUUUCUUCUCUUAUUCUCGCAAUGUGAGGCUUGGUCUCGCUAGCGAUGGUUUCAAUCCAUUUAGAACAAUGAAUACUACUUAUAUACUUGGCCUAUUGUUGUUAUUCCAUAUAACUUACCACCUUGGAUUUGUAUGAAGCAGUCUAAUUUUAUCUUAUCGAUGAUUAUUCCAGGUGAAAAAAAUCCAGGAAACGAUAUUGACAUUUUCUUACAACCCCUAAUAGAUGAGCUAAAACAAUUGUGGGGGGAGUAGAUACAUAUGAUGCUUCCACUAGACAAACAUUUCAUUUGCGGGCUAUGUUAAUGUGGACUAUAAAUAAUUUUUCUGCUUAUGAAAAUUUAUCUGGAUGGAGCACUAAAGGAAAGUAUGCAUGUCCGUGUUGUGCUGAAAAUACGCAUUCUAAGUAGUUGUACAACUGUCACGCCCCCGCCCCGAGCCCGUUACCAAUUUGGCACGAUUCGGGCGCGGCGAGCGGACCGCCGAACGGACAGCACCUCCUCUGUCCGCCCAAGGCUCGAACUACUAGAUUGUGUACAACAAGUUCCCAGGAAACAACUUGGAUACAUACACAAUCAACCAACCAUAACAAUUACGAGAGCACAAACAGUGCUUGUCAACAAGAGCAAGCAACACAUGUAAAGCAUACAAGUGAUAAAAGAGAGAUGUACUUAACUAUUAACUCAUUAACUUAUACAAUUAUUCAUUCUUUACAUUUAUACAAAAUGUAGGAAAAGCCACUCAAAACCUCACCCUAUACAUCGUCUACUCUCAAAAUAGGUACAGGGUGUAACUAAUGCAUACAAGAAGUAGCCUCUACCAAUGUCGCUAGGGCGCUACGCCCUUGCCGCGAUCCUCACCGGGGACGCUCGAGCUCGGACCUGCAAUGUGGUGGAGUGAGAACUACGAAUAGUUCCCAGUGGGUUCGGCCGCCGACUCCGCCGAUCUCCCCACUAGGUCUUAAGCAGGCACAGAUAGAUAUGCAGAUAGAUAGAUAUAUAAAACUGAAAGCAGUAACAGUAAUGAACGGCUAUGAUCUAUCAAUGCCUCAAUCCAGAAUGAUGCAUGCAUGGAACUCAUGGUAAGAAGGCUGGCUGCUACACUAUUAUGCUCAACAACAAUGUCACUCAUCCGAUUACCCAAUCUCUCGGCGAACGCAAGGUUCGCUCACAGUCUCACGUCUCUAAGUCUCAUAGGAGAGGUGGCUAGCUAUUCACCUACCCCGAGACCGCCUGUGGACACUACACUGGUCCAAGGGCACUACACUGGCCCCCUCGCGUGCCAAACUCCGGAGUGUACUACCUGUGAGGAGCUACCUCCACAGGUGCAGACAGGCUAAGUGAGCUCGAUCCAAUCUCAUGAACUGGGAACACCCUACCCAACCAGGGGUGAUAGCAACAUAGUAUCUCAACUAUACUAGUGUUCUCAUGCCACUCUCGCACUACUUAAUGCCACUCGUUCAAUGUUUAAGGUUAACUAGAUGCCACUCGUUCUCUUGACAAGUUCUCGAUACACUAGUUUCCAACACACUAGGUUCAUAAUCACAUAAACAUGUUCGUCAUAUAUAGGGCGAACUAUCUCAUAGUAUUCAACUCAUGCAUACUAGGUUUUCAUUCAUGGUAUCCACAACCUAAAACAUCACUAGCAUGCAGGGAUAUGCACAAUCACAUUUAACACCCUAUAAUGCUAUAUCGCAAUAUGUAAAUGAUCGAGGUUAGUACUCAGACAUAAAGAGCAGCCCGACUGCUUCGGGAUGGCACUCCCCCACCUCGUGGUGAUGCCGUGACUCUGCGAUUGCGAUUCGCCGACGUCUCGACGCCUCGUUGGCCUUCUAGGCGAGAACGAAGCUCCGAAGGUCUUCUUGGCGAUAACGUCGCACCUACUCGACGGAUCGACGAACCGUCUCCGCCUACACGCUCAGGGACCUAGCAAUUAGGUUUGCGACCAUUCAAAUUAGAUCAAAACCCUAGAUUUGCCAAAAUCCCUAAUCGAAGCCCUAGAUCUCGAUAUUGGGGAAAUCCGCGGUGCGAGCUUCGAUUUCGAGCUCGAACCUUCUCCCUAGCUUCAAUAGGUUCCAUUUGAACCAAUUUCAAGCUAUAAAACACUAGUUUCCAAAAUCCACCAUUAUAGGGUUUGAGGUUUACCUCAAUACCAAGCUCCAAGCUUGAAGAGGGAGAGAAGAAGAUGAUCUUCUUCUUCUUCUUAGUCUCCUCCUCUUUCUCCUUCUUUUCCUUCCUCUCCUUCUUCUUCUUCUCCUUCUCCUUCUUUUCCUUUCUAGAGAGAGAGAGGGAAGGAGUGUGAGAGAGGAAGAGAGCAACUGAGAGGGAGAGGGGUCCCCUAGCCUCUCUUAUAAGCCACUUUGCUAAUAAACCCCUCAACUUUCCACUUAUUACACAGCCUCUCACUGGGCAUUUUCGCAGUGAGGGACCGGUCCCAGGUCGGGGAGACCGAUCCCCGAAAGCUGCACCUUCGGGCAGAGGGGAUUUCGCGUUCGGGAACCGGCCCUUGCCUGAGAGACCGGUCCCCGGGAGACCGGUCCUUGUCCGAGAGACCGGUUCCCGAGAGCAACACUUUCGGGACUGAGCCAAACUUCGGCUUCUCUCGCUGGGCCAACGUUCGGGAACCGGUCCCUGCCUGCCAGGGACCGGUCUCAUCAGAGACCCCCGCAGCCCAGCCCGAUGGGACCGGUCCCUCCCUGCCAGGGACCGGUCGCCGAGAGCAUUUUUGCUCCAGUGCAGCUUUUGCACUGGUGCUCUCGCGGACACCUCCUCAAUGCACUUUAUGCAUUGUGAUCACCUUCGGACUUUCCGAAGCUUGCACACUCGACAAUCAGUCGAUUCCAGACGAAGUCUAAUCCUCAGAUUUCGAGAAUUCACUUCCCUUACAACAAUGGUAGAAAAUAUUGUUAUAUGGGUCAUCGUCGAUGGUUACCCGAGGGUCAUACUUUUAGGUAUCAAAAACAUUACUUUGAUGAUAGUGAGGAGCUAAGAAUGGCACCCGAAAUAGUAAGUGGAAGCAAUGUACUGGGACAAUUAGAAUCUAUGAAAUUCACUUUAGGAAAGCUUCCAAAUGAAGAAGGCAAUCGAAAGAAAAAUAAAAAAGGCAAAAGAAAACGAAAAAGACAAGUACUGGAUGAGAUUGGAGAGUCACAUGAGCAAGAUUUAGGCACAAUGAGUGAAGCACGUUGUGAUGCUAUGAAGUGGUGGAAGAAAAAAAGUAUAUUUUUCACUUUACCUUAUUGGGAGCAUAACUUGAUACGUCACAAUCUGGAUGUGAUGCAUAUAGAGAAAAAUGUGUUUGAUAAUUUUAUUGGAACUUUCUUGAAUCUUGAUAAGAAAUCAAAAGAUAAUCUUCAGGCCCGUCUAGACUUGAUAGAUUUGGGUAUUAGACCUGAGCUCCACCCUCAAAUUCUUGCUAAUGGUAAGAGAAGACUACCUCCAGCUUGCUUUACGAUGUCAAUGGAUGAGAAAAGAACUCUUUGUCAAGUUCUCAAAGAUUUGAAAAUGCCCGACAGUUAUGCUUCAAAUAUUUCUAGAUGUGUAAAUCUCAAAGAAUGCAAAAUUACCGGACUUAAAAGUCAUGAUUGUCAUAUUUUAGUUGAAGAUAUUCUUCCACUUGCAUUACGGGCAUGUAGUCCUUCCAAUCAAGUUACUUUUGUAGUAACUGAGGUGGCGAACUUUUUUAAGGCAGUAUGCUUUAAAGUGUUAGAUGUUGAUGAAUUGGACAAAAUUCAAAAUCUCAUCGUAUUGAUACUUUGUCAUAUGGAGAGAAUUUUUCUUCCCUCAUUCUUCACUAUCAUGGUACAUUUAUGUGUUCAUUUGGUAGCUGAAAUAAAACUUGGAGGCCCCAUACAAUAUAGGUGGAUGUAUCCUCAAGAGAGGUAUAUUCUACUCAAUUUUCCAUUAUCUUAUUUCAAUCUCUCUUUUUUCGUCCACGAUGUCAACUUUACUAUUCCUAUCUAUUGUAGAUUCUUUGUUCGCUUAAAAUCAUAUGUUCGCAAUAGAGCUCAUCCUGAAGGAUCGAUUGCUGAGGGGUAUAUAGCCGAAGAGUGUUUAACGUUUUCUUCAAGAUAUUUAGAUGAAGUUGAAACAAGGUUCAAUAGACUUGUGAGAAAUCCUGACCCACUUACAAAUGAAGCACAACGAUUGUACUUGUUCUCAAGCGCGGGUCGGGUUAUAGGAAAGGUUGAAGAUAUUGUCUUGGAUGAUAAAUUAUGGGUCCAAGCACAUUGUUAUGUAUUACGUCAUUGCGAUGAAAUACAGAGUUUUCGUCAGUGAGUAUUUAUCAUUAUAUAUUUAUCACUAUUUUUAAUUACUAAUUCAUAUAUAUAAUAGUAGUAUAUAAAUAAUAAUUACCUAAUUUUUUUUUCUUAUACAUGUAGACAAUUCAUUGAUAUGGAAAAAAGAAAACGUCGCCGACAUACUCACUUAACAGCACAAGAAAUAGAAAAGUUAGUGAAUGAAAAAUUUCAUGAAUGGUUUGAAAAGCAGGUAAUUUUGAAUUGUAUAGCUAUAUGAUAUAUUAUACUUACUAUUUCUAACCUACUUGUGUUGUUAAUGAUAUAGGUUACGAGAACGGAUGAUUCAGCUAUUUCCGAAAAAGUUGCUACGCUUGGUAGGGGUCCUAAUAAAGUAGCUAAGCGAUUUUCAGGAUUUAUCAUCAAUGGAUUUCGAUAUCAUACGAUAUCUCGUGAGGAGAAUAUGUUGACACAAAUAGUGGUGUGGUUAACACAUCAGAGAUAGAUGGUGUGAAUUACUAUGGCUUUGCGAUAUUAUUGAAUUAAAUUACUAUGGUAGUUUUAAGGUUGUCUUAUUUAAAUGCGAUUAGGUAGAUGUCCAUCACAGUUCAGGAAUCAAGCAAGAUGAAUUUGGGUUCACCUCUGUAAACUUUUCUCGUUUAAUACACACAGGUGAAAAGUUGGAACAUGAUCCAUAUGUAUUUUCAUCUCAAGUUGAGCAAGUAUUUUAUGUACAAGAUCCACAUCACCAGAAUUGGUUUUUGGUUGUAAAGUUUAAACCAAGGGAUUUCUUUGACAUAGGUAAAGAGUUGGGGAUAAAUGAGGCUAGUUCUUUACUACCUCCAAAUGCUCAAAAUAUAAAUGAAGACGAACAUCCGAAAUAGAUUCGGAUUGAUGCAAGUGAAGAUGAUACAAUUGGUAUUUAGAUCGUUUCAUGUAAUAUGAUGUUUCAUGUAAUCUGAACUGAUUUGACUUUUGUAAUAUGCUAUAUUUGUUUUUUGGAUUUUGUUUAUUAUUUUUAAUGUAUAUUUUUAUAUUAUAUUGAAAGUAAUAUUUUGAGUUUGUUUUAUAUUUUUGUUAAACUUAUCAAUUGGAACACGGUAUGCAUACGUAAGCUGAACUUUCAUUUCUAAUUAUUUUUGUUAGUUUUCUUAUCCUUGUAUAGCAUAGACAAUGACUAGAAGAUCUAGAAGGUUACGCAAUUGCAAAAUAGUGAGCAUUAACUCUUAAAAUGAGACCACGCAAGAGCAAUCACUUGAACAAGAGCAACGAUCAUCACAAGGACAGCAAUCAGCUUCUUCUUCACAACCUCAUAUCGGUAAUGAGGAUCAAAGCAACAACGAGCAACAAAGUGAUGCACAAGAAGGGCGAGGCGUUUGGAUUGUCGGUAAUUUUUUUAACAAUAGCAAUUUAGUUUAUGCUCUUCUUUCUUUCUUUUCUUUUAAAAAAUAUUAUUUGCUUUUUAGGUGACAAUGGACAGCAUCGUAGAAAGCGAGGACGAACUACAAUGGCAGAUAUAUGGAAUUUGGCUGAAGAGGAAAGGAUAAAAGUUGAAGUAAACAAGUAUGGAUGUCCAUGUACUGAAGAAGGAGCUGUGCUUAGCUCAUUUUUGGGAGUUAUUGCAAAGAAUGGACGAUAUGCACCUCUAGAUAUUUCUAGAUGGGAUAAUAAAGCACUUAAUUCAUAUAAAGAUAAAAUGCUUAAGCUUAUUGAGGUAUAUAUUCAUUUACUCACUGUUGUCUAUUUGCUUUGUACUUCUAUCUUGAAUAUUAUUGCUUUUAUGUUUUUUAUUUUUAUUCUAAUAUCUAUAUACAUGGUAAGCAGUCAAAAUUUUCAUAUCCGAUUGGUACAAGAGAUUGGGUUCUAGCAUCAUUGAACAAGAAAUGGAGAGACUAUAAGAGUGAAUUAAAAUAAGAAUAUUUUCUUCCAAAAGAAAAGUCCGUAAAUGAGAUAAUGGCUAAUGUACCACAAGACGUCAUUGAAGAUCAAUGGUGUAGAAUGGUAUCAGAAUGGUGUACAGAGAAGAGCAAUGUUGCAAUUUUUUUUCUACUAAUCUUGAUAUCUUUACUUUAGAACUUCUAUUUUUAACUUAUAGUUAUGUUUAACUAACUUAUUAUUUUUUCGGUGAAUAGAAACUUUGUGAAGCAAAUACUGCAAAUUCAAGGAAACAAAAGAAUGCUCACACAUCCGGUAGAAAAAGCCAUGCAAGGCGAAGGAAGGAAAUGAUUGUCUACCGUUAUUAUUUUUUUCGACUUUUGAUAAUUUGGUGACUUGACAGAGAAGAAAUUUUUUUCGUCGUUCUGUUUGAAAUAGAAGAAAUUUGACCCACUCUCAUGUUUCAAGAGAACAUUUAACAUAGUUUGGAUCAGAAUUGAAUGUGAAGGUAUUAAUUGUAAGCACUUAUCCAUAGAUGUACAUUUUAGUAGUUUAGACAAUAAGGUUGCUAUUUUUCUAUUAGUUCUAGAUCGAAAUUCAAAUUCCAACCUGUUGAUCAAUUAAACCCCUGUUAACAACAAAUAAUUGGUUCCUGUUCAGGUCAUUGUGUUCACAUAUUGCCCCCCUAGUUACUCCAGAAGCAAGCAGAUGCUAUUUUAGCUAUUUUAUAGGUUUUGAGUGGCUUGGACCUGAUCAACAUACGGAAACUGUUGUUACUAUUUUGUUGGUUUUGCUCAGCGUGAUCUAAUCUGAAAUUCUUUGCUUUUGUUACUUCUCCUUUCAUAAGGAUUCUAUAUUGUGUUGUUUUCUUAUGUUUCCUCUUCUUUUGAUAUAUAUAUUUUUUUCAGUUAAAAAGACUCCUUUAUUCAUGAAAAAAUAGUUUGAUUUUGCUCAUAAUCAAGUACUGUUUCGGAGGACUUAGUAAGAAUGUUGAAUCUGCAUAUGCUACACUUGAUUUCUUGCAUCUAAUAUAUGUCUUUGACUGUUUAGUAUUGUUCUGUCUAUCAUGACUGUUUUCUCUUUUCUUCUGAAUUUGUUAUAUAGGGUUGGUUUUAACUCGAUGUAUCACCUGACAGACUUGCCAUCUUUUGCAAGCAGCAAAUAUAUUGUAUUAUUUGAUCCCCAAGGUGCAUACCUUCCCAAUGUUUCUGCUUCAAAUCCGGGGAAACGCCUCGACUUUGUUAACUCUUCAGCUAUUACACUAUAUAGAGAUCAAUUUUUACCGUAUUGUGCUUUUGGGUGUAACAUGACAGCCCCUUUUUCGGGCACUUUAUUUCGUUUCCCCUUGAGGAGUGCAAAUCAGGCGGCUGUUAGUAGGCUUUCCAGGCAAACAUACUUGGAAGAUGAUAUUCUUUUGCUGUUUUCACAGCUUUAUGAAGAAGCUGUGUUUUCUAUGCUCUUUCUUUGAAGCAUACUCUCAAUUGAAAUGUAUAUAUGGGAUGUUGGUAUGAAUGAGCCACGAAAGUUGUACUCUAUUAUUUAAUGGUCCUUUUUACUGAAAUUUAUAUUUUGUAGUUUUUGCUGGAUGAUAAUCUAAUAUUUUUGUGGUUAAUUUUGUAGGAAAAGGAAUAUGGAAAGGAACCGGAUAGACUAACGUUUUGGGAGGUUGUGCAUAAGAAAAAAACUGGAGAAUUUGUUGAUUCUGAUACAGAAAGAAAAGUAGUAAGUAUAAAAGUUUAUUUAUUUGUUAUUUUUAAAUAAUUUUUUUAAUGUUAUUUGAUGGUUUCAUGAGAAAACAAUUUUAAAAUUGAUCAGAAUGCUGCGUGUAAAGAAUUGGAUGGAGUUGUCUCCCAAGGUAUUGAGCCAACUAGUGAGUUGAUUGAAGAGCUAUUUACAAAACACAUAGGGCCCGAGCGCAAUGGCCGUAUGAAGGGCUUAGGCUUGGGACCUACGCUAACUAGCUACUAUCGGCUGAAUUGUUGGGGAUUGCCUUCAAACAAUCAAGCUUCUUCAAGCGACGAACGGUUAAGAGAGGUGGACAAACUAAAAGGGGAGAUGAAAGGCUUACAAAAAGAAGUGGAACGUCUACAAGCAUUAAUAUCUAAAAAAUUUCCUGAGGAGAAUCUAGGAUCCCCAUCACCUACAUCCGGUCCAUCGAUUAACCUGCAGGCAAGAAAUUUUAGAAUAUUUUUUCUUGUAUUUCGUAUUUUCUAUCAACUCAUUACUAUUGUUUGAACUAAUAUAAAUUUAUUGCAUUUUUUACUUUCAGGUUGUAGAUCAUGGUAGUGCAAAUUGUUCUUCUUCUAACAAUCGGUCAUCAAAUUCAAGUUAUGAACCACAAACCAAUCUUCAUGGGCGAACCGUUUAAAUGCAACCAGUGAAAGACAAGAAUCAUAUUUUGUUUACUUAAGAACUCAAUGGAUUAAAAGACGAGUCACAUUUUGUUUAGUAAAGUACUCGUGAAUUUCUUUUUUCUUAUUUUUUGUUGAAGUUUAGACUGACAUUAUGCAUUUUGGUGCAUCACAAGUGAUUAGCUGCUAUAUAUCACUACAACAAAUAGAGCUUCUUCCGACAGUUUUUUUACCAAUAAUUAGGCUAACUGCCACUAAAAGUAUAUUAUACCAGCGCUUUUUAUUUUUAUUGCAGCAGUUACUAAACCGCUGGUAUAUAUGCUGAUAAUUCUCAAAUUUAUAAAUAAUAUUGGACCAAUGGACUAUGUUUUAUUAAUUUUUUCCAUCAAUUGGGCCAUGGGCCAACCUUGGGCUCUCCUUAUAUUUCAAAUAACCCCUCUCUCUCUCUCUCUCUCUCUCUCUCUCUCUAUCUCUCUCUCCCCUCGAUCUCUAUCUCUGAGCUCUACCCAGAGAUUUUCGGAGAUCUCCACGAUCUCCACCACGAGCUCUCCAUCUCUGAGCUUUCCUUUUUUUUUCAAAUCGGAGAUCUCCGCCGCUUCAAGAGGCUGGGAUUUUCGGAGAUUUCGAGCUCAAUCGCCUUCUCCGAGCGAUUUCUCACCCGGAUCUACACACGAUUCCACGAUCGCGUGGGAGAGGUGAGCUAUUGAUCUUCUUUUAUUUUUCUGGAAGAACUUGUAUCAGUUUCUGCAUGUAUCUGCUUCUAGAUGUGUAGUUUGCAUUAAAAGAAUUGUGUUUCUCCUCAUUUCUGCGUUUAGACCUGAUUAAACUUGAAUUAAAUUAGGGAGAAUUAAAUGAGAUGAGAAGCUUAAAAAGAAUCAAACCUCGGAUUUCCUGAGCUACUAUAUAGAAAAGAGUCUUUGUGAUGGUAGGGAACAGCUGAGAAGCAUGAUUUAAAAACCAUUUCUUCUCAUCCCGUAAGGAAUAAUCAUGGCUUUGAUGGCACCGGUUUGAUUGAGAUAUGAUUUAAUAGGUAGAUAAACAUUUUUCCAUGCUUUUAUUUAUGUUUUAUUUGGAUGUAUAAAUAUCUUAUUUAAUUUAUUUUUAAAAUUUAUUUUAAAAAUAAAUAAUAUUUAAAAGAAAAGGAGUAUGAUCUAAUAUCUAAAAGGAAAAUUAUAUUCGGCCUUUUAAGUUUUUUUUUUAAAUAAAAUAAAUUACUUCAAAAGUAAAAUAUGUUAUCCUACAAAAUUAUAUAUAUUAAUAAAUUUUUAAGAAUUAAAAAACAGAUUUAUAAUUUUCAGUCAUAUAAUUUUUAUUUUUUUUUCUAAUUUCCUCAUAAAUAUGGACCGUGUCAGGUUUUUUUUUUUUUUAAAAAAAAAAUACUAUCUAUACAUCAACGAGCAAAGCUCAAACUUUGCAAAUAUGUAUGCACUGUUCUUGAGUUCUUGAGUUUGUACUGAAGCAUGUUUGGUUGUACCAUUGUAAUUAGUUCUCCGCUUAAUUUUUUAUGAAGUAGAAUCCUAGGUUCAAUUAAUGUAAUUGAGAUUCAGGGGAUAAUAUGAACGGAGCUAGGCUGCACUAUAGUUUCUCUACUUUGUUAUUCAAUUAAGAUUCAUUAAUUUAUUGGUGGAGCCUGAUGUAAUGUGAUUAUACAUUUACUUUGUAAUGAUGAUGAUGAUGAUGAUGAUGAUGCCUAGGUGUAGUUAAUUACGCAGAUAUAUAUAUGCCUGCAGGGUUUGGAUGAGGCUUUUAUUUAUUAAUUUAAUCAGGCAAUUACUGCAAUAAAAACCUUGUUUGUAUUCGAAAGUGCUUGUUAAAUCAGAAUUCAGAUUUACAUCCCUUAACCUUGUUUGUAUUCGGAAGUGCAGCAUCUAUUUCCUCAUUUUAUCUUGUAGUUAUGAAAAAAAUGGAAUCAUUUUAUUUUAUAAAUAAUUGCUUGUCACUUCUGAAAUAACUGAUAAAUAAUUAUGUUUAAGGACAAAGUUGUCGGCAUUCGCACUUGCCAUUAUUUUGAGUAUUCAUGCAUGCCCAUUUUUGAGUUUUACUUCCUUUUUUCUUUAAUUUGACUAAAGUAGUUAACCAAUAGAACCUGGUUGUUACAUUAUUUUUUUGUUGUAGAUAGCCUUUAGUAAUCCAGGCAAAAUUGAACCUCCAAUAAGUUGAUAUUUGCAUAGUGUCAUCCAUAUNCUGUCUUGGAGGAGAUAGGCGGGUUCCGAGUUGUUGUUGCUUAUGUACAUAUUUCUUUAUUUGUUAAAGGUCCUAUUGUAAAGUUAUAUGUACCGAACGUGCUCCCGUUCGUUGUUAGUGUUCACUAUCAUUCGAUCGAUAUGUCUUUUUAAGUGUCAUUAAAUUUUGAAAAUGGGCUUGACAUAUUGACUUUGUAAAUCAAUAUAUGUACGAAAUGUUAUGUAAGUAAUUGUACAGAGUCAUGUAGUUUUAUCUACUAUGUACUUGAGUUUUACCAUUGACGAUUUUGAAACCACAGUCGAUCGAUUCGACGUCCCGGGAACGGUGCUAGGAGCCGGUGUUGUGAGCGUGACCUUGGACAUACCUAUCACCACACUCUUGAUGUUCUUUCAAGGGUCACCCAAGCCGGCGGCUGGAGCGGCUGAGUGGGUGAUCCAGAUAAGUCCGUAUACAUCCGUUUUUUUCAUUGUGUCUAUCAUUGGUUGACAUGUACAUUGAUGAUGUUACGGACAUGUUCGACUUUCUUUCGUUAUAUCCUUUUGACAUUUAUACGUACGUACGAAAAAUGACUUAAAUGGGUUAAGUAACCAAUUGGGAAAACCAAUUGUUAGUGAGUGACUAUGAUAGGGUUUAUAGCCCCUCUGCGUUGGACGUGGGCUGCCCUGACAGUUGAUCCCCUCUGCGUUGGAGGACCAGGUCAUUUCUACUGAUGAGGCCUCGAGUAGCAGGUUCCCCCUCGCUGGGGUGAACUUGGUUUGUUUACACUCAUACUAGACUAGGGGGAAAUCUCCUAAGUUGACUGUUUGUGACAGUGUGAAAUGAGAUUGAUCAAGAAAUAUGAUCAAAGUGUUAAGGUAAAGAGCUACGAUUGGUUUAGAGAUCAACUUACAGUGGUUCAAAUGAUAACAAUAUCAGGUAUGUAAGUAUCCCAAGAUACAGGUGUAAGAUUCAAGUGUAAAAGAGUUGUAACUAUUUGUAAGUGUAUAAGUUGAUAGUGAACGUAUUAUAGUGAUGGGAUACUACGUACUUAUGUUCAUUAUACGAGUUACCUUUUGGUAUCUGUACUUUCCACUAAGUUUCUGAAGCCUAUCGUGGUGGGUGGACAUCACCACAGUUAGUUGACUCUAGUUACAGAGCCUCACGCAGCUGUUGAUCAUGAGCGCUGAGUCACGGUUAGCUUGAUCUUGCCAGAGAUGGCAUUAAUCGUGCAGCGGCUGGACAGCUUUUCAGUUAAAUCUGAAAGCUUGUGCUAAUUAAUAGUAAGUAUAUUCUGAUCCUCCCUAAUUUGGUCUCAGUUAUGAGUAUGAAAUGUUCAAUCGGAAAGGUUAAGGUUCAUAGGUACAUAUACAUAUGUAAUAACAAAUUCCUAUGUUUAGUCGGGUUACGACUAAAGUCGUAGUUCGACUUUGAUCAGAGUACGACUUAAAAGUCGUUAAGUGGAGAAGAACUCGUUAGUCUAAGACGAUCUCGUUGAUUAGUGGAAAAUAGAACAAAAUGAUGACUCAAUCAAAGGAGUCGGAAUUAUAGUUCAGAAGUUACGACUAAAGUCGUAAACUUGAAGUGUCGAAAGUCGUAAUUAAGUUUACGAUUGGAGUUGAAAUCGAUGAAUGUUAGUCAGCGUUACAUCGAUUAUGUGAUGAACUAAGUCCUUAUUUGUAGUUAAAUGGAGUGAUCGACAUGGUUACGAGUUCUCAAGAAAGAGAAUUGACCAAAGGACGAGUUAUCGGGGUUUAGACUUUAAAGUCGUUGUAUCGAGAAUUGAAUUAGGUAAAAUAUCGUUAAUUAACCUGAUAUUAGGUUAUGCCUUACUCGAAUGGAGUCAAACGACGACUUCAUUGAACGGGUGCCGAAGUUUACUAGGUGGAGUCAACAUUAUGUGACUUGAAAACGUUUAACGCCUCAAGCUCAUACACCUUACCACACACCUAGUGAGGAUGUACAAGAUUUUCCAAUCUUGUUCAAAAACCUAUUCAAUCUCCUACUAACCUUACGCUUUUCACUCUUUUGCGUAACUUGUCCGCUUUAGUCGGAAAAGACGAACGACAUGGCCAUGUCGGCGAUACCACAUGGCCAUGUGUCACCGUUAAGCACCGUCGUUCCGAUAAAACCAUUAAAGUGGAGAACAGGGAUAGAUGAACUGGGGCCGUACUGGACCCUACGAGUCUCCUCCGACGAUCUCAAGACUCUUCCGAAGAAAAUGGAAGAAGAGAGAGAGAGAGAUCCUUAAAAGAGAGAGAUGUAUCUUCAGCAGCAAAACGCGGUUAAAGCGCGGCGCGAGCAACGAGCGACCAAGCCUCUGAGUUCCCUUCAGAAACCUUGCACCCUUUCUCCUCGAAACCACACAAAGAUACUCCAAUGACGGUCCCCUUCGACUUAAAGUCAAAAUCUCUCCAUUAGUUGAGCUAAAGAGAGAUCAAAGGCCAAAAUACAACUUAAACCUGUAGAAAAACACAAUCACGAAGCUUGACUUAAUCCUCCACAAAUGUCGUCAUUUCUCCUCGAAACAACCGACGAUUAAUGGGGAAAUUUGAGACACCUUGAACGAAAUUUCGAAUUUUACCGAUUAAUCAUUUGAUAUGGAGUUAAAGCCUUGAUAAACUGCAAAUGAAUCAGCUUAACUACGUUUAAACCUUAAAAAGAAGCGUCGUCCAGAAGCUCAGAGCAACUCGACUUGAACGUGAGAAUCUUCGACCAAACCUUCCAUAAGAUUGGACUCCACGUUCGGCGUCUGUGUACGGGCCCGGAUCGACCAAAGUGGCGAUAGCGGGACGUGACAGCAUCUGCAUUUGGAGAAGCAUCAAAGGGCACUAGUAAAAUCUAUAACUAUGAAGUCCCUAAUGUAAAUGCUAAUAUGCAUGAUAUGUUAAGUGAAGUUUUUUAAAUUAAUAAUCAAACUCUAGAAGAAGCUGGAGGUGAUGAUUGUUUCCAUGAGUCAUCAAGUGAAGGUCCUGAUGUACAACAAUUUACACAACAAUCUACAGAAGGGAUGAAUGAAGAUGCUAGAAAGUUUUUUACCUUGCUUGAAGAUGCAGAACUACCACUGUAUGAGGGGUGUGAGAAAUACAGUAAAUUAAUAGCAAUUUUGGUUCUAUACCAUUUGAAGUAUCUUAAUGGGUAGAGUAACAAGUCAUUUACUAUGUUGCUUGAAGUGUUGAGGAAUAUGCUUCCUUCUGGUUCUAGAUUGCCAGAAGAUUCCUACAAGGCUAAAAAGUAUAUUAUGGACUUAGGACUUAAAUAUGAAAAAAUUCAUGCUUGUCCUAACGGCUGUGUAUUAUUUUGGAAAGAUAAUACAUGUGCUAAUUUUUGUCCAACAUGUGGUGCUUCAAGAUGGAAACCUGAAGAGGCAAGUCCUAAAGUAGAUGUGGAAGAGGAAUCUACUAGGAAGAAAAAACCUGCAAAAGUUUUAAGGUGGUUUUCCUCUAAAGCCAAGACUACAAAGGUUGUUCACGUCUUCUAAAACUGCUUCUUUAAUGAAAUGGCACGCUGAGGGUCGCAGAAAUGAUGGUGUUAUGAGGCAUCCUGCUGAUUCACCGGCAUGGAAAGCUUUUGAUAAGCAAUAUGUGCACUUUUCAUUGGAUCAUCGUAAUGUCAGACUUGGUUUAGCUACUGAUGGCUUUAACCCUUUUCGAAUGAUGAGUGCUAGUUAUAGUUGUUGGCCUGUUAUCUUGAUCCCAUAUAACUUACCACCAUGGAUAUGUAUGAAACGAUCUUCUUUCAUCUUGUCUUUGCUAAUAUCAGGCCCAAACUCACCUUCUACUAAUAUUGCUGUGUAUUUACAACCUUUAAUUGAUAAACUUAAAGAAUUGUGGGAGUUUGGAAUUGAAACUUAUGAUUACUCUAGUGGAGAAACCUUUCAAAUGCAUGCUGCUUUAUUGUGGACAAUUAAUGACUUUCGAGCUUAUGGUGAUUUGUCUGGGUGGAAUACCAAAGGUGCUCUUGCUUGCCCUUCUUGUAACUAUAGUACUCACUAUCGAUGGCUAAAAUAUGGAGGUAAAUAUUGUUUUAUGGGACAUAGGCGGUUCCUACAUAACAAUCAUAGAUUUCGAAAGGAUAGAAUGUCAUUUGAUGGCACUCAAGAGAUGGAAGCAGCACCUAAAAUGCUAUCCGNUGCUAUCCGGAAGUGAUAUUUUGCAACAAACUAAAGAUAUUGAAUGCAAUUUUGGUAAGUAUGUUAAUUCAACAAAAGGUAAGAGGAAACGAGGCGUACAUGAAAAGUUGCAACCAUGGAAGAAAAGGAGUAUAUUCUUUACAUUGCCUUAUUGGGAACAUCUUCUUAUCCGUCAUAAUCUUGAUGUCAUGCACGUGGAAAAGAAUGUAAGUGACAAUAUUCUUGGUACAUUGUUGAAUCUUGAUGGUAAAACUAAAGAUAAUUUGAAGGCACGAUGUGAUCUACAAGACAUCGGUAUACGACAUGAACUUCACCCUCAAAGUGUUGAUUCAAAUAAGAUAUAUCUACCACCAGCUUGUUUCGUUAUGUCUCUGAAAGAUAGGGAUGAGUUCUUAAAAGUUUUAAAGAAUGUAAAAGUACCAGAUGGUUACUCAUCAAACAUAUCACGAUGUAUUCAACUCAAGCAGCAUAAGAUUACAGGAUUGAAAAGCCAUGAUUCUCAUAUUCUGAUGCAACAGCUACUUGUCGUAGCAUUGCGUGGUGCUUUGCCGAAGGUAGUAGUUGCACCUUUAAUUGAUUUAUGUUGUAUUUUUCGCGAGCUAUGUUCUAAAACCUUGAAUGUACAAGAGCUUGAGCGUCUAGAAUCUCGAAGUGUGGAGACAUUAUGCCAUCUUGAAAGAAUCUUCCCCCCAUCAUUUUUUACGAUUAUUGUCCAUUUGGUAACUCACUUGGCUACGGAAGCAAAAAUCGCAGGACCGGUUCAAUACCGUUGGAUGUAUCCAAUUGAGAGGUUAGAAAUUUCUAUUCAAAAGUUUUCACAUUUAUUCUUAAAGACCUAUUGCCUCUUUUUUUUUUUGUUAGUCUUUAAUUAUUAUGUUUCUAACCUAUAGGUUUCUUUUUGAUCUCAAGUCUGAUGUACGUAAUAAAGCCCAUCCGGAGGGCUCAAUAGCUGAGGGAUAUUUAGUAGAGGAGUGUAUGACGUUUUGUUCGAGAUAUUUAGAUUCUGUCGAAACCAUAUUCAAUCGACCUGCAAGAAAUAUUGACGGUUCAAUUGGGGCAACAUCACACAUUCAUCUUGAUCAAAAAACAUGGAUGCAAGCACAUAGAUAUGUACUAUUUAAUAGUAAUGAAAUAAAUCCUUUUCGAAGGUUAGUUUUGAUAUUACAUAAGCCUUGCAUACUAGUUCACUUAUGAUGUCUUACUAAUAAUACUCUUUUAUUUUGUUUAAGUAUUCAUAAGGAUAUAAUAAAAAGACAAAAGCGUGGAACCCGCCCAAGUGAAGCUGUUAUAAAUAAAAUUCAUAUGGAGAACUUUGUUGAUUGGUUUCAAUCGUAUGUAAGUAUUUAUUUAUUUACAUGCUUCCUAAUAUUAUUCAAUUAGGAAUUUGAUGUUUCAUUUUGUACUUAUAGGCUUUACAAUAUGGUAGGUUAUGAAUUCCGAUGGUGGAAAGGAUGACCGGUUCACGGAGAAGAUAAAAUGGUUGGCUCAUGGCCCAAACAAUUUGUGUAGAAGCUUUCGGGGAUAUAUUAUAAAUGGCACCAAAUUUCGCACCAAAAAUUAUGAAAGUAAUAUGAAGACUCAAAAUAGUGGAGUUUCAGUGGAAACUGAAGGAGGCUUAACUUACUAUGGUAUUUUAAGCGAUAUAAUUGAGUUGAACUAUUAUGAUAAAUUGCGAUUUAUUUUAUUCAAGUGCGACUGGGCUGAUGUUACAUCAAAUAAGGGGCACAAGAUAGAUGAAUUUGGAUUAGUUCUCGUAAAUUUUUCAUACUUGAUCCAUACAGGCGCAAAAUCGAAUGAUGAACCUUUUAUUUUGGCAUCUCAGGCAAGGCAAGUAUACUAUAUAGAAGAUCAAAGAAACAAAGAUUGGCUUACUGUUGUAAAAGCUAAGCCUAGGGAUGUGUUUGAUAUUGGUAGUCAUGAAACUUGUGAAGAUAAUGAGAAUAGUCAUUGUGAUAAUCUACCAUAUAAUAUCGAUAUAACAAGUAUGCUGGAAAGCUUGAAUGAAAAUCUAGACUGGACUAGAGAUGAUGCGGAUGGAACCACAAUUAGUGAAGCACCUUCUCAUGAAAACCUACCGUUAGAAGAGGAGUAUAGCAACAACUCCGAGUCAGAUGGUGAUAUGGAAAAUACGUGCCAUUCUAGCUAAAGUGAGUUAUAAGUUGCUUCUUUGUUCACAAAAUUGGGUUUUGCUUCUGAUUGCCUUGGUUGUUUAUAUUCAUUGCUGUGUGAAUUACUAGAAUUUGUUGUUUAUAUUUAUUGCUUCUGAUUGCCUUGGUUGUUUAUAUUCAUGGUAGAUAAGAUUUUUGGAUCGUGGUCAAUUUUGCAUAACUCUUGUGAUAUUUUCCAUCUUUUGAUAAACAGUGAUAGUAAUGCAUGGCAAUUGAAGUAUGAUUUAUCAUAAGAUUGCUUCAUGAAUUUUGUGGAUGCAGCAAUGUAUCCUGUUCAUUGAAUUACAAAGUGAAAGUAAUUAAUUUUUUAUGUUCAAUAUGCUUAUUCAAUGUUCAAUUGUGCCUGUUUGUUCUAGCUGUUGUAGUGUGUAAGGUACUCAGUUAUUCUCUCCCUCCAUCUGAGACGAAGUGUUUUAAUCUAUGUUCCUUAAACAGGUUAGAUCAUAUUUCCUAGUGUUUAGUACUGGAUCAGAGGCCGCAGGAAUUGAUGUUUAGUUAGGGCUUCAUGUGAAUUUGAUAUUUCUUUUUUACCGCUAUGGAAAUGUAGUUGAUUGCAGUUUUUAAUUGAACGUGUGUAGAAGGUGCAUAGGCAUAGCUAUCCAUAAUUUCGUAUCCACAGAUUUUAUGGGCUUGUUUGGAUGCCGGAACAGGUUAUCUGAUGUCAUCUGAUGAUAAUGGUAAUGUGUGUGUUAUAGAAUUUGAUUUGUGAAUGCAACCAAGAGAAUAGAUUUUUAGCUACAGUGAAUAGUUAAUAAUUCCGGCUUCUCUGUUUUCGAGAUAGCAAAUUCCACUGACGAGGAGAUUUAUCAUAUCAUAUUCUGUGAAACAUAAAUUAGAGGCAGGAUAUAAAAUAUAUUUGAUUGUAGGCAUCCUUCCAUAAUCUCCAUCUACUAAUUACAAAUUACAACAUGCCCCUUGAGUAAAUUGAAGAUGCAUACUAAACAAGAUAUUCGUGGAUCCGAAUAGGCCCUGCUGAUUUAUAACUUAAGGUUCAGUUCAUAUAUCUCUUUCAUCACAAUUUAUUCUUGCCUAAUUUUUGAGCUCUUCACCUUCUCAUAAAGUAUAUUGCUCUUUAUGUUAGCUUUUUAUGAUAUAAGGCGCUUAUAUAAGUUCAACGACUUCUACUUCGACAAGGAGGAAGAGUUCGUCAUCCGAUUGCAGGUAUCUGUCUAAAAUCAACAUCCUUCUUUUCCCCUGUCCUCUUCUCUCCGCACUUUUUAACCUAUAUAUGUAUAUCUUUCAAUCUGAAAAGUAGAGCAGAGCUUUUUAACCUAUAUAUGUAUACCAUCAAUUUUGUUCACCGGGCUUUGAGUAAUAUUAUAGGUGCUUGAGUUGGGGAAUGUGUCUAAAAUUAUGCCAGAUGGAUUUGUGAGGUCACUUAUCCAGUGUGAUUCUAAUUAAGGAAAAAAAAACUGACAAUUCAUCCAUAGUAAGUACAGUAAGUACUAUGUUAAGAUGGAAGUUUUCAGACAUGAACAAAAUAAUAGAUGUAAAAGCUUAGAAGUAUAAGCUGUUAUAUCUCACAUCAUGCACCAAUCACUAAUUACUAUAGAUUACAAAAACGCAGAACUAGAAAAAAGGACCUAUGCUACCACUUCUUCCAAGCUUCAAGUACCCGUUCAUAAGAAGCUCUGCAAAGUAAGAACGACUAGACUUUCUUGCUAUUGGCAAUUCGGAGAGAAACUUAUACAACAAAAUGUGAUAUCCUGACAACUUCAGAACCUAACUUACAUAGGGUUGAAGCUCCCCUUAACAUAAUAGCAGUAAUCAAAUGAACUAUGGAGUCAUUUGAGAAAUCCAAUUCUUGUUAAUUCUAACCAGGUUCUUGCAUUGUCUAUGCCUUAGUGAUUAGUAAUUUGGUUCUUGUUUGGAUAGGUUGUCGCUAAGAGUUCUUGCUCCAGGUGCUACUCGAGAUCCAUUACUUGUCACGCCCCGAGCCCGCUACCAAUUUGGUCCGGUUCAGGCGCGUCGAACAGACGCCGAACGGACAGCACCUCUCUUGUCCGCCCAAGGCCAAACAACCAGAUCAUGUACAGUUAAGCGCCCAGGGAAUGCUUAAUUAACAUACAUGAUCAAUACGAUGCACACAAGUGCAUAAUAGCUAAGAGCAAGAACCACGAGUGAAAUACAAGUGUGUAAAGAGAGUACAUCUAGCUAAUACAAUCAUUCAACAUUUACAUCAUUUGAAUAUAUUACAUUUCCAUCUUCCAAAUGUAAAUACAUGUUCUCAAAAUACCUCAUGGCUUUCCAAUAUCUAUCCAAAACAUCUGGUACACGAGGGUACUCUAAUGCAUAAAGGAAAGCUACUAACUAUGCUCACUUAGGGCGCUAUACCCUUGCCGCGAUCCUCGCCCGGCCCGCCUCUAUGUGUACCUGUACCCCAGAACCACACGGGGUGAGAACUAUAUAAAUAUAGUUCCCAGUGGGUUCGGUCGCCGACGCCGCCGGUGUAAGGUACCGGACUUCUAAAACUAUGAAGUUACGGUGUACAUUUGAUUGGAGAGCCGUUUGAAUGGUUUCGGUGAGGUCCCGGUGAGGUCCGGAAGCAUUCGGGCGUUGUCGGUACGCGUAGGCGCUAAAACGGACCCGAAAGGCUAAGUUGGGCCGUGAGUUAAAUCCGGCAUUAGCGAGGAUGGAAAGAUGAUGAAAACAUGUUUGAAAACAUGUUUGGAGAGUCUCGGUUCGAUUUGAGACGAAUCGGAGGUCAAACGAACGAAAACGGGCGAAAACGGAGCGAAAACGGACGAAGCUGAAAAUUGGCUAAGUCUGGGCUGGAGGUCUCUCUGGGACCGGUCCCAGGUAGAGAGACCGGUCUCUCAGAGACCGGUCCCUCAUGUAGAGACCGGUCCCCGAACCCCGAAAAUGCCCAGUUCGGGCUGUUGCAAGAGAGGCUUUGUUGAGGGGCUUAAGUGCAAUUUUGCACUUAUUAGAGUGUAUAGAAUGGGGGAUUAGGUCUUUCUCUCCCUCUCCCUCAACCGUGUGAACCCAAAACCCACCCCUCUCUCUCUCUAGAAAGAAAAGAAGAAGAAGAAGAAGAAGAAGGAGAAGAGGAAGAAGAAGAAGAAGAAGAAGAGAAAGAGCUUUCCAUCUUCUUCAUUCCUUCCUUGUGCUUGGAGAGGCUUNAAGGCGUUGAUGCUUCUAAAAGUAUUCUAGAUCAAUUUUAUAUAUUCUAUCUCAAUUCUAUAUAUUAUAUAAUUAAGCUAGAAUACUUUUAGACACUACAACAAAUAGAGCUUCUUCUAACAGUUUUUUUACCAGCAAUUAGGCUAACUGCCGCUAAAAGUAUAUUAUACCAGCGCUUUUUAUUUUUAUUGCAGCAGUUACUAAACCGCUGGUAUAUAUGAUGAUAAUUUUCAAAUUUAUAAAUAAAAUUGGACCAAUGAAACUAUAUUUUAUUAUCUUUUUCCAUCAAUUGGGCCAUGGGCCAACCUUGGGCAAUAAACACUUUUCACAUUAGCUCUCCCUAUAUUUCAAAUAAUUGCGGGGAUUUGAGCUGGCUUAGUGUUUGCUCGGUCCAAAUCCGGUCCAGUCCAUCUACACUACCGUAGAGGUCAAUAGAACCCAACGGAAGAAAACCUCUAAAACCCUAGACCUUCUAAAUGGUCAUCUUCCUCCUCCUCCAACGAUGCUCCGCUAACUCUUUUCCCGGCCACUCCCCCUCCGCCUACAAACCCUAACCCUAUUGUCGUCCUCCUCUUCCUCCUCUCCCCUUCCUCCACCGCCACGCCCCAAUCCUUGCCUCCCUUUCUCUGGUCGCGACCCCACUUGGAGCUUCCUCCUCCGAUCGCUGAGAUUCUUCUCGGCCUCUCGAGGCGACGGGGGCGAUGACGAUGACGGGACCUGGAAGCUCUCUCCGGAGUUCGACGAGGUCGACUCCGUCUUCGGGGACAUCGCCGAGGGCGGCGAGGAGGUCUUCGUAUCGGAGGCGGUGGAGGACGUCGUGAAGGGAUUCACCGGCGGAAGCGGCGAUCCGUGGGCGGAGGGCGCCGCGGCGGACAGUAAGGGCGAUGUGUUCGAGGACAUUGAUCGGGAGGUCGCCUUGAAGGAAGGAGGGGGAGGCGUCGGAGAGGAAGAGUGGGGAACGGUUGAGGGGUACAAGCCGUGGACAUUGGGGGAGGAUGAGGAGACGGGCGAUGUUUUUGGCACUGAAGAGACUGAGGAGGCGGAGAAGGACGUCGCCUAUGAGAAGCAGAAACUGGAAGAGAGGGAGAAAGAGCUCUUAGAGACGCUCAAAGGUACUUCGCUCAGAUGAACUUCUUUGAACCCUUUAAUAAUUUGCUCUGAUCUCUCUCUCUCUCUCUCUCUCUCUCUCUCUCUCUCCUCUUUAUUUUCAAAUCGGAGAUCUCUACCAUGAAGCUUGAGCCGCUUCAAGAGAUUGGGAUUUUCGGAGAUUUCGCACUCAAUCGCCUUCUCCGGGCGAUUUCUUACUUGGAUCUACACACGAUUCCACGAUCGGGAGAGGUGAGCUAUUGAUUUUUCUUUCAUUUUUGGCUUUGAUCUCGAAUAGCUUCUCAAUUAAGCCAAAGUGUUCGUAAUCGGGGUUUCAGGAGUUAAUUUUUGGAUUCGCUUGUGGGAGAUAUUAUCCAGUUUUUUGACAAUAUUUGAUCAUCUACAUGCUGAUCUCUUUUAAAUUUAUUUCGAAACUGAAAUUUAGGCCUUUUUUGUGCUUCAUUAACACUGAUUUAUUAAGCUGUGUGAGAUUAUUUAGGUUUCAAGAUACAAGAGCUCAUUGAAUCUAACCAUCUAGGCCCAUCAACCUUUUGAUGCAUCUCUUACACGUUUACUAUAGGAUCUACAAAAGUGUAUUUGGGUAUCUCAUCUAUUGAAUAGCAUAUGUAAGCAGGACACGAUAAAUCCUGUUGAUAUUCCUCUUGCUUGCUUCCUUCUCUGGUACUUUUUUUGAGCAUCCCCAGCACAUAUUUAUGCUCUUCAAUUAAGUUCUGCGUAUCCUUGAUAGGAUUACUUUGAAUUAUUUUGUAACACUGCACCUUGUAAGUACUUGAUAUAAAAUUGAGUAUUAGAAUUGGUAUAUGUUGUGUGCAUGUGGACUGCACAUUAAAUAUUCAAAUUUCAAUGUUAUGGUGGUACCCAUUUUCAUUUUUGAAUCAAAGAAGAAGAUCGUACUUAUGCAUAAACCAUCUAUCUUCUGCAGUAGCCAAGCCAUUAUUGGUUGAUGGAAGCGAAAAAUGCCACGAAUUAGCUCUCGCUUACGAUCAGUUUGGAUAAAAUUCCGGGUAUCCGUACCCAUUCAUCCCUAUCUAUAAAUGAGUAGAAUUUUGCAUUUUAAACUUAUCUCUGAUCCGUACAUUCUAAAGCUAAUCUUUCUUUAGAGUUAUUUUGAGCAUUUAAAUGAUUUGAAUUGGUUUUAAGAUCCCUAGUUUUGGAUCUGCACCAACUCAAACUGGUUGGUCUCAGAUUCUGCCAAAACUCCAAACAGUGCCUUACUGCACGAUCUAUCAUUUUCUCCGUACGUACAUGAAAUAUGGCGCCUGAGAUAAAACUUGUAAUACUGUAUGAGUCUGUAAGAAUUAAUUCUUAGGUGUAUAUGGUUAAUUGGAUUGCCUGAAUUUGUAUAUUAGUCAAUAUCAUUUGGCUUAUUAUAAUUCAUUAUUCAGAUCACUUGUGCAUGCCAUCUUUCCAUCUAAUUUCCUGCUUGAAAAGCUGUUUGCCCUGUGAAGAAUCAGCUUUUUCCCCCUCUUCAAGAACAAAUCUAUCUACCGAGAUUCCUCAUGCGUCAUGAGUGGUUCUCUUGAACUGCAAUUUUCUACUCUAUAUGAAUUCUAUUGUUGAUUUGAAAAUUGAAAGUAGAUAGAAUCACGUAUAUUCUUCUGAUGUGCUCUUUUUGUUUUUUAAGUCUCAGUGCAAUUCUAUGAACUGGAAAUAGGUAAAUAUGUUUGGAGAUCCCUCAAUUAUAGACCAUUUUAAGAUAGGCUCCUGUGCAUCACCUCAACUUUGAAUUUUUUUUUUUUUUUUGUGAAUUUAGGAUUCCAUUUAAAUCGAUAGCUUCAUUAGCUAUUGGUUCUCAAGUACUAAUGGAAUCCACCACCUUUAGCUUAAAAGCAGUCAGAGCCAUUAAUGUAACCUGCAUUUCAACGCGCCGAAAUUACUGUUGGUUAAAGUGAAUGAAAGUUGAUGUGGGCGUCAAAAUAAAAAAAAAAAGAAAAGCGAAGUUCGAGUGUUUAUUUCAGAAUGCCCUCGUGAGGGUGUCCCCAUACUUUUUACAUUGUAGCCAUUUGACAGAAUUCUCACAGUUGUAUUGCUGUCGAAAACUUUUCUUUUACAUUUGAAAAUCUUUGCUCCUCCUGUUCAGUAACCUUAUUCUAUUUAAAUUUCUGCAGGUCUUUGACGCGCGAGUAGGCCAAGUCAUGUAAAGAAGGUGGUUGGAUGUGCUUCCAUGAUUAGUCAUCGACAUUCCUCGUCGACGAAAAACUUACGUCUCUCUGUGUAUCCAUUUUCUGGAAUAUAUAUAUAUAUAUAUAUAUAUAUAUAUAUAUAUAUAUAUAUAUAUCAACUCAUUGCUAAAUUAAUUGACUAAUGAUGUUCCACCAAAUGAUAGGAAUUCUGCCACUACAAAUGCCAGUCAUAAAUGAUUGCUACUGCAUAACAAGAAGUUCGAGCCAAUGCCCUGUUAUAGAGCUUUUCUGUUUUCAGAUUUUUAAAGUUUUUGUUGUUGUUGCAGGAUUUGGUAAAGUGCCAGGCUAUGAGCACGUAUUCACGGACUUUCUCCUAAGCCUAGUGCAGAGCAAGUACAAACGGCGCUUGGCAAACAGUUAAACACGACGCGUCGUACGACCCAUAAAACUCCCAAAGUACCCUGAAAUUCGCCUGUCCACAUACUCCCAACAAGAAUUCCCAUGUACAUAACAGGGAUAGUUCCGGUGGGUGCUUUAGUCGCUGCGAGCAUAACCUCCCUCGUCGCCCUUUAAAUUCACUAAAGUAAGCUCUUCUGCCACGAAUGUAUGCAAUAAUAUCUCCUUUAAUCACAAGCUUCUUAACCUUAGGUUAUUUUGUGCUUUUAAGUUCCUUUUUGGAAAUUUUGAUAAAGAAGGUUGUUGAUUACUUUUGCUGCGCUCAUAAUAGCUGAUAUAAACAUAUAGAAAGUGAAUACGCGACUAGUGAAUGUUUGAAUGAUUAGACAUCUGAGAGAUAAUAUGUGGCUGUUGUAGUUUGAUAUUUGUAAUCUUGCGUUUACUGUAAUAGUAGCCUGAUAUCUUUGCAUGUUCCUUAUCGGAAGCACUCGGUAUUCUAUUUUUGUUUAUAUUUGAAUUGCUUGUUGAUAUCCUUGCAGUGUUCUUUGUGCUAGUAAUUUUUUAAAAAAUUGCUUUGAUGUAAUAUGUAAAUGAAUGGUGAUAAAAUGCUUUCGUAUGUAUGUGGGGGUUAUUCUUACCAGAUCCUGGUAGGAACUAAGGCAAUCUUUAACCUGGGGUAUAUAUAACUUUUUUAUGAAUAAGACUAUAGAAACUAGUGCUACUAUAUGUUUUUUUGCUCACGAUUGACUAGUUUGCUUGGUAUGUAGCUUGUAAAUUGCAUGAGAUUGCUAGCAAGUAUUUUAUGGUAUAACAUGGAUCAACAGUAUAAUGUAUUUUUUUUUUAGGGAAAACUUCAAAAACCCCCCCUGUGGUUUCAUACGUUUUUAUUUUAGUACCCUGUGGUUUGAAAUGUAUCAAGUUAGUACCUUGUGGUUUCUCACUUUAUCACUUUAGUACCCUGUGGUUUAAAAUGUAUCAAGUUAGUACCCUGUGGUUUCUCACUUUAUCACUUUAGUACCCUGUGGUUUUGCACUUUAUCACUUUAGUACCCUAUGGUUUAUAUAAAUCACAGGGUACUAACUUAAAAAAAAAAAACACAAGGUACUAAAGUGAUAAAAUGCAAAACCACAGGGUACUAACUUGAUACAUUUUAAACCACUGGGUACUAAAGUGAUAAAGUGAGAAAGCACAGAGUACUAAUUUGAUACAUUUUAAAUCACAGGGUACGAAAGUGAAAAAAAGUGAAACCACAGGGGAGAUUUUUGAAGUUUUCCCUUUUUUUACAUUAUUGUAGGAACGAAGUAGAAAGAAACGACAUAACAGGGAUCAGCAAAUAGACUUUUAUGCAGCUGGUUCAAAAUCGAUAGCGCAAUAUGCAUAUAAUAUGGUAUUUGAUAUCUUCCUUUAUCAAUUUUUUGGAUCCUGGUUUCUUAACUAAAGUUGUUCUAUAUAUUUUGCACACAUUAUGUAGGAGAAAAAUAGAGUAGUUCCAACAAGAGAAAAGCUAUAUGUGGUGCAUCACAAACCGCCUGAAAAUGGAGGCUACAUAAUCAUUUUCUGUUGUGAAUUCGUCAAGUUAGUAAUUGUUGUGCUGUGAGGAUUGGUAAAUGCACCUAUGAUUUACUCUUGUUCAGUCAAGGUCUAUAUUUCCUUAGAAGUUUUUCAGGAUGUGAUAUUUAUGCUGCUCUGAGGAGAAGAUUUAUGCUAACUUCUAAUUAAAUGACAAUCAAGCUGCGUAAUUUGACCUGAUUAAUAAUUAGAACUAAAAAGAUUUAGUUCUUAUGGCUGUUAUUUAUACUUUUAUUUUUUGCUAUAUGUUAUUUAUGAUAGAUUUUUUUUUGGAAUGAGCUUAUGCAACUUGUAUGUUUCAAUUUUUUUUGUUACAGAUUGAAGCAACAAGCAGGAUUUGACGUUCGCAUUUCAAGAACGUUUAGCUGGAGCUUUUCACUUUCCUUUUUCUUAGCUUUCUAACAUUUGGGAUUCAAAUAAAUUUUCUAUUGUAUUGAUUUCUAUUAAAACAUAAAAACUUAUUUUGUUGCAUUUUAUCACUGCUCUAGAUCAUUGCUUAUAGUUUUGUUUCAAGAAUGAUUGUAUUAUUUUAUUGCAAUUUAGUAAUAUGACUCCUUUUUUUUUUUAGAUAUUACAGAUUGUUGGUUUUACAAUUAAUAUCAAAUGGAAAAGCCUAUUGCAAUUUGUUGAUAUUAGUUUUUUUUUUCAUAUUAGUUUCAAAUUGCCAACGGUCAAAAACUAUCGGUACAUGCGCCUUACGUCAGUGUUUUUCUUGUAGUUUUAACGACGGUUUAAGAACUGUUGCUAAAGAUCAUCUUCACCGGUGGUUAGUAAAAGUGCUGGAAAAAUGUUAUACCAGCAAGGAUAUUGUAACGGUCAUCUGUACUUUUACCAACAGUUUUAGAAUUGCUGGAGCAAAUAUUACCAGCAGUUUUUGUAUUCUUUUCCAGCAGUUUUGACCGCUGGUAUAUGCCUAUAUUGUUGUAGUGAAUAGCACCAACCCCUUGGUGCUUCUAGGUUUCUAACCCUUGGAUCUACUCCUUGAUUACUAAUAGCCUUUGGAUCAAACACUAUCCCACCUAUCACUGCCUACCACCAACUACCACCAUCAUCUCUCCAUCCAAUGGCUAAAAACUCAAAAGCACCACCUUCAUGGUGCUUUUGAGAGUAUUCUAGCUCAACUAUAUAUAUAUAUACACAUAUAUAUAUAUAUAUAUAUAUAAUAUAUAUAUAUAUAUAUAUAUAUAUAUAUAAAAUACAUUAUGAUAUUCGCUAGAACAUGAAGAAUAAUAGUAUGUUCAUAUAUGCUCUUAGAUAUAAGCUGUUAUGAUCCAAUCAUGCACACAAUCACUAAUUACUAUAGAUUACAAAACGCAGAAUAGAAAAAGGACCUAUGCUCCACUUCUUCCAAGCUUCAAGUACCGGCGUUCAUAAGAAGCUCUGCAAAUAAGAAACUUAUACAAAAAAUGUGAUAUCUGACAAUUCAGAACCUAACUUACAUAGGGUUGAAGCUCCCUUAACAUAAUACAGUAAUCAAAUGAACUAUGGGUCAUUUGAGAAAUCUAAUUCUUGUUAUUUAACCAGGUUCUUGCAUUGUCUAUGCCUUAGUGAUUAGUAAUUUGGUUCUUGUUUGGAUAGUGUUGUCGCUAUUAGGUUUACUUAGUAAAUUGCAUUCGAGUAAAAUAGAUUUUUAUUUACUUUUUGAUGCUGGCACAUAUCUCUACCUGAUUUGAAAUGUUUACAGUAGAGUUUUCUUUUCAUUAUAUUUUUUUCUUUUCUUUCCAAGUCCCUGGGAAAAUAUUAGCUUUGGUAGUGUAAUGUUACAUCAAGUACUAUCCGUUUACUUGUGUCCGUUGAUCCAGGAUAUUCUACUAACCUUGCAAAAUCAAAGUUUGAUGUUCUUGUUUUCAUAGCGAUACUUCCUCCUCUUUCUUUUUCUGUCUCUCUGACUAUGUCUUUCUUUUUGGGGAUUCUUUCUUCUUCUCUCUUAAUUCUUUUAUCUAUUAUGGAGCUUAUAAACCACUUCUGGUAAUUCCAUGUUUUGAACUUGGAGCGUCCAUGUUUGUAUCUGUUCGAAGUUUCUGUUUCUGGAAUUUUGACAUAUGAAUGGAUAAAUGAAUAGUUCUCCCCAUUUCCUAAUUUUUCAAACGAAAUGUUUCCUGCUGUUAACAGAUAUAAAACAUGUUUGGUACAUUUAAACAACGAUUCAUAGCGUUUGAAACACUAGUUUUUCUUCAUGGAUCUAUCAAAAAACAGCACCUCUAAUACUUUUCCGAUCUAUCUAAAAACAUGGCUACUUUUUAUGUCUAAUAUCCUGUCACAUUUUAUGUCAAACAUGAUUUCUUUUGUAUAUAUGGUAUAUCAUUUUUCUAUCGUUCUUUACGCUUAAAGCCGUAAUUUAUAAGCUUACAAAUAGAUUCAGUACCUGACAAUCAUGUGCCAAAGUGUUGUUGUAUCCUUUUAACCAUGGUUCUAAGAUGCUGCUGCUUUAGAAUAUAAAUCUCAUAUAGUUCAUAUAGAUAUGGCAAAGAGAAAGCUCAAGUAUGCUCUGUUGAGGAUGAUCUAGGGCAGCCUAGAGAGGAACCACCACACAACAUCCUACACAGCCUCAAGUAUCCUUAUCAUCUCAUCAACACAAUGCAACUUCACAUAUAGCAGUUGAUGAUGUAGACCAAUUGUUGAUACUGAAGUUGAGUAUUGUGGUGGAAGGUAAUAUAUCAGGAUUGCUAUUAAACCUUUUUCUUUCUAUAAUGCAAAUAUGAUUUUUACUUCUAACGUUAUGAUCUCUUUUUUUAAUAGAUAGUUCAGGUUCACGUAAACACGAGGUUGUUACUCGUAUGUCCGACGUAUGGAAUUUGCCACCUGAAAUGCGCAUUUUUGUAAAGUUUAACAGCUUCUUCAGCCUGUUGAUACAGAAGGAGUGUUCUUCAUCGGUUUAUGGGCACUAUAGUCAGAAAGCCAAACUUGCUACCAAUUGAUUGCUUCAAUUGGCGGUAAAAUGGAUGCCAAAUAUAAGGAGUACUGUUGGAAGAUUCUUGAGGUAUUAAUUCAAUAAGUUUUCCUUAUUUCUUAAUUUAUUUUGAGUUAAAUAUUACCUAUAUAGAACUUUAAAGAGUGAUUUUUGGUUGCAGUCAAAAUUUUCAUUCCCUAAAGACCAAGAGAUUCGAGGACGGAGCGAAAUGAUUCAACGCAUCAUAAUGAAAAACUAGGAGAUCUUUGGAGAACUUUAAGUGUGAGCUGAAAUCAAAUAUUUUGAUGAAUCACUACAGAAAAAUGCCAUUUUUGAUGAAGGCACCGGCCUCGGUUAAUCGUGCACAAUUUAAUAACCGUUGUGAUUUUUGGUUCUCCAACGAAGGGAAGGUAUCCUAAUAUUUUCAUAAUUCACUUAUUACUUGUAAGAUACUAAUUUUUUUUUUAUGAAUAAGACUAUAGAAACUGGUGCUAUUAUAUAUUUUUUUUGCCCACGAUUGACUAGUUUGCUUGGUAUAUAUGUAGCUGUGAAAUUGUAUGAGAUUGCUAGCAAGUAUUUUAUGGCAUAACAUGGAUCAGCAAUAUAAUGUAUUUUUUUACAUUAUUGUAGGAACGAAGUAGAAAGAUCGACAUAACAGGAUCAGCAAAUGGACUUUUAUGCAGCUGGUUCAAAAUCGAUAGCGCAAUAUGCAUAUAAUAUGGUAUUUGAUAUCUUCUUUUAUCAAUUUUUUGGAUCCUGGUUCUUAACUAAAGUUGUUCUAAUAUAUUUGCACACAUUGUGUAGGAGAAAAAUGGAGUAGUUCCAACAAGAGGAAAGCUAUAUGUGGUGAUGCACAAAAAGAAAAAAAUGGAGAACCUGUUACAGAAUUAGCAAAAAACAAAAUUGUGAUGUUUUAUAUGACUCUGUAAUUAAAUUAAGUCAUAUUUUCUUAGCUAAUUUAUUAUAAUUGUUUUAUACUUUCUAUACUAUAGGAAAAGCUGGAGCACUCAACCAAAAAGAAGUAGAUGUCUCACAAACUGGUAGCUCAGGAGGAAGCUUAAUGUGGCGCAGCUACUGAUGCUUAUGCGAAGUGAUAGGCAAAGAACGGCAUGGCCGUGUUCGUGGUGUAGGAUUCGGCCAACUCUUCUAUGUUUGGUACCUCAUCAAUUAACACAUCUCAGCGGCUAAGGAUGGUUCCGGAAGAAGAAAUUUUAAGGGAUAAAGAGGAAAUACGUGAUCUUAAAGACAGAUUAAAAUUCAUAGAGGAAAAGUGGCAUUCCUUUUAUCCAACAAUCAAAUAUUUGUUCUUCACAGAGUUACGUAUCGUAAAUAUGUUAUUUUGUUAGCUUUUAAUCUUUUGAAUAAAGUCUUAUAUUCUUUUAUUAUAGGUUGAAAAGAUUGCUGAAGAUAUAAUUUUAGAGAGAUCAAGUGAUCAGGUAUUGUCAACUUGUCGAUUGAGAAUUAUAAUUUAAUUGAUUUGUUUGUGGUUGAUUCAAUUGAGGUGUUAGGUAAUAAUAAUAAUCAAAUUCGUAUUAUUGCAGAAAAUAGUAGAGAUGGCAGGUACAAUAUGUAUUUAUUCAGCAAGGAGUUCAAGCUACUGAGACUGCCCAACCUCGCAAGCGACGUCGCUAUCGUAUGAGUUUUUAUUAGUUAUAUUCAUUGCUAUCUUUGUUUUAAUCUAUUUCUUAUGUUGGUUAGACAUAAUAUUUUUUCUCACUUGUAUAGUAAAAAGUUAUGGACAAACUAAGUGUGGAGAUGAAAAUCAUCUAAAAUAACCAUAAACGGUAUGUUAUUUCACUACAAGAGUUAUCAUUAUAAUGCAUUGAAAAUUUUCAAUUUUAAAUAUAAACGAAUCAAACUAUUCUUUUGAAUUUAUUAUGUUUCGCAGCUUCUAUGUUGCAGGUUUUGGAGAAAGUACAUGUAUUUAGCUUGGGUGUUAGUACUGAUGACUGUAGGAGGACUUUAAAUUGAGUGCUAACUAAGGUAUGUUUGAUCCUAUCUCUUAUGCAAUGCCAUGUAAAACUUAAAAUAACUUAUAGCUCACUUUAGUAGUUUAAUUACUUAUCGGUUAAAUUUCAUCAUAUGCAUAUUUCAUCAUAGCUCACUUUAAUGGUUUAACCCUUCAUUGUCGUAUUCAUUGAUCUAUUGUACAAGUCGUAAAAACCAUUAACUAGAUCUGCCAUCAACUUGUGAUCAAGAAUCAAAAAAUAGUACUUUUAUUAUUGUACUCAAAUUUAAUUAUAAUAAGCCACUAUGAUUUCUGCAAAAUAUUCCUUUUUCUUCUCUAACUUGCUCUUUUGUUGAGCUGCUCUGGUUAUGCUUCUAGCUUGGUUAGCUUAAACCUAUUGAGUGUUCAUGCAUUGUCUUCUCUAACCUGAUACAAGUUGUUUGAUUGAAGUUGCCUCAUUUGGCUGUUUUCUUCAUAACCGUGAUAGUAGCUUUUUUCUCCUCCAUCUAAGAUUUCGUUCUCUUGAGCUUGUUGNNNNNNNNNNNNNNNNNNNNNNNNNUAUAUAUAAAUAUAUAUAAUACACCCACACAUAUAUAUAUAAAUAUUCAUAUAAUAUAUAUAUAUAGUAUAUAUACUAGCAUAUAUAAUAUCAUAUAUAUUACAUAUAUACUAUAUAUAUACAUACACAACAUAUAUAUAUAUAUAUAUACAUACGGCUCGGGUAGGGACCGAACUCGCACACACACACACACACACACACACACACACACACACACAUAUAAUAUAUAUAUAUAUAUAUAUAUAUUAUAUAUUAUAUACCAACCACCUACCACCAUUGUAAGGAUCGAAAUUUUUGCAGUGUAGCUAACUCUCAGUUGACCGGAUGUUUUUUGUGUGUAAUUUAAUUCACAAAAAGCUCGCUCCAAGUGUUCGGGCGACAAUCGAGUUAAAACGGAAAUUCUACCGCGAUUUCCAAGUUUCACUUAAAUGAAUAGUGAACUCGAUAUUUUCCGGAAACCGGCGGGUGUAGAAGUUGGUUCCCUGGCUCGUCACCGGACUCUGUUCAUAACAGUCCAAUAGCUCGUUUCGACCCGACACACACACACAUUUGGAGCUAAUGACGCUUGACGGAUUUUGAGUUGACCGGCACUGGGAUUUCGAAGAAAAAACCGAAAAAUACAUGUUUAUAUUAUUUAUGUUGUGUUUUCCUUCUAUUCGAAGAACGGUUGAUUUGUCGUGAAUCCGUGGUCGAUUUAGACGAAAACGAAAUCGCAGCUUUGUUGUCUCCCGAGGUGCCUGAUCGCACCGGUCAAUCCGUUCGCUGACAAUCGACGGACGGAUACUGGCGGAGAUGCAGCACAAAUAAAACCGUUGAUCGAGGAGGCGUCGGUAGUGGCAAAACGGGUAUUUUCCUGAAACAGGUCGGCGAUAUCUCUUAUGUACGGUUUCGCUGAGGGAAUCCGCAGUGGCAGGGCCCUUCACCAGCAUUUUCUAGUCGUCGGCUGAACAGGGCUCCGGCUUUGAAAUUUCGGUGUUUGGUGGACUUUUUUGCGAAGUUGCGCCUUGUAUAUAGUUGUUUCCUAGGGUUUUUCUCAACCUAACCCUAACCCUAGCUACCCUAAGUCGCCCCAGCCACCUUCACCCUUCCCCCUGCCCUUGCUGCACCAGCCCCGGCCAAGCCGCGGCUGACCCCCGCCGCCGCCAGAGCCAUCUCCCAUGCUUUCUUCCUCUCUUUUCUCUCGACCUCUCCCCUCAUCGGUUGUGUGAAGACCCCGGACGCGCCACCUCGGACGCUCCCCCGGGGUCACACCGUCUCCGGGUUCUCCCGCACCUGACCGGGUCGCGCGCGCCCUGUCGCCUGCGCCGCCGCAGCCGCUCCAGCGCCUGCAGCAGCCCAGCCGAGCCUGGCCGAGCCCGGUUUUGCUCGCAAAAAAACCGCCAGCGGCGCCGCCGCCGCCUGGGACCUUCGCGCGACACCCCGUGCCGGGCACCCUUCCUGCCGGCGCCGCCGGCCUCCCCGACGCGCCGCGCGCCGCUCGGCCGUAGCCGUGCCGCCCCAGACCAGCUGCGGUCCGAGUCAAGCCGGCCUCUCCCAUCCGCGUCGCCGCCGCCCUGGGCGCCCCUCGUGGCACCUCCCGCCCUGACAGUCGGCGCACCUCUGCCCCGAGCCGCCCCGAGCGCCGCUUGCCUGGUUGCCGCCGAGCCGCCGCACCUCCAAUCCGAGCCGAUGCCGAAGCCGUGUGCGGCCUCUAUUCCCCCGGCGCCGCACCUUGGCACCCGUGGCUAACUCCCCAGACUCGCUCAGCCGCUGCCGCCGUCCAGCUCCCCACGCCGCCGCCUCGUGGCCGCAUGGCAACUCCCUGGAACCCGAGCCCGAUCUCAGUGCGGGCUCGGUUUUGCUCGCGCCGCCGCCUGCCCUCGACGCUUCCAGCCGCCAUACUGAGGUGAGCACGGUGUUCCCUCACCUCCCCCCCUCACCCGUGCCCCUGGCGCUCGCCGGCCGCCCGUGCCGCGAGCGGCCGGCAGCAAGGCUGCUCCGCCAAGCCCGAAAUAGGACUUAAUAUGGGAUGGAUUUUGUGAUCUGACUCCAGCUUCCCGAUCUCUAGAAGAGCACCGAUGACUCCUGGCAAGUUGCUGAUCAUCGUGCUCACCUUGUUUCCUGUCGGGAGACUCCGUUCCGCUGUUUUGGCGAUGUCCGCUCCGUUUCAGCCUGCGGCAUUAUAAAUCCUGUUUGUGCUAUUAAGAUUGCCAAAAUCACUGGAUCUACCCCUUGGAUGCUUGAGCUGAUCGUAACUUAAUAUAGCAGAUUCUACUCUAAACCUUGUAUUAAUUGUGGAUGAAAUUGCUUUUAGUUGAUGUCUAAUUGACUAUUUCCAUAUGAUUAACACCUCAAUAAAGGUAACUUCCAUAGUUAGCAUAGUACUGUAUUGGAAUUCCUUAUGAACUGUUCAAAUCAUGUGGUUAACAGCUCAAUUUAUGGAUAACUUCCAUAGUUGGCUGAGUACUGUAUUGGAAUGUCACUCAAAUUAUUUUGUUUUUAGGCUUUAUUAUGCAAAUCAUAACAUUUUUAACGACGCAUUUAUGAAGUAAGCAGAUGUUUCUUUUUAUUCAAGGGCAAAAAAAAAAAAGGAAGAUAUUUGAUUGCUAAUGAAAUGUGUUUUAUUUUUUGCUAUAUGUUACUUAUGAUAGAUUUCUUGUUGGAAUAAGCUUAUACAUCUCAUAUGUUUUAAUUUUCUUUGUUUCAGAUUGAAGCAACAAGCAUGAUUUGAUGUUCGCAUUUGAAGAAUGUUUAGCUGGAGCUUUUCACUUUCCUUUUUCUUAACUUUCGAAUAUUUGGGGUUCAAAUAAAUUUUCUAUUGCAUUGAUUUCUAUUAGAAUGUAAAAACUUAUUUUGUUUGCAUUUUAUCACUACUCUAGAUCAUUGCUUAUUAUUUUGUUUCAAGAAUGAUUGUAUCAUCUUAUUGCAAUUUAGUAAUAUGACUCUUAUUUUUUUUUACGGAUGUUAUAGAUUGUUGGUUUUACAAUUAAUAUCAAAUGAAAAAGCCCUAUUGUAAUUUGUUGAUAUUAGUAUUUUUUUUCAUAUUAGUUUCAAAUUGCCAACGGUAAAAAACUGUCGGUACAUGCGCUUUACGCCAGUGUUUUUUUUGUAGUUUUAACGACGGUUUAAGAACUGUUGCUAGAGAUCAUUUUCACCAGUGGUUAGUAAAAGUGCUGGGAAAAGGUUAUACCAGCAAGGAUAUUGUAACGGUCACCUAGAUUUUUACCAGCAGUUUUAGAACUGCUGGAGCAAAUAUUACCAGCAGUUUUUGUAUUCUUUUCUAGCAGUUUUGACUGUUGGUAUAUGCCUAUUUUUUUGUAGUGUAUGUAUGUUCGGGAUAGUCUUUUUGUUUUGAUGUGUUACAAAAGGAUUAGCUACUAUGUGAUGGAUUGCUUUAUAUGAAAAUUUGAUACUUGAUGAUCAUUUGGUUAGUAUACUUUGUAGAUUAUAUUUUAUUGGUUUAUGUCUUAAUUUGUAUUCAAGUUUGAUAUUUAUUUGUUGAUUUGAAAUCAGUAACUUUGAUUUUUAAAAAUUCAGUAAUUAUAUGUAAAAUAUAUAUAAUUUGGAUGAUUAUUACAAUUUAGCAAAAUAUGUAUCGACGGUUUAAACCGCCGGUACAAAUAAUAUAAUUAAUUUUCACUUACAGAAUUUUAAGGUUAGCGGCGGUUUAAACCGCUGCUACCAAUUCUAAUUGAAAUACUAUCUGAGUAACAAGCAGCAUUUAAAACCGCCGGUACGGAACCGCCGCAACGUAUUUAUCUUACCCCGGUGGUCGUUGAAACCGCCACUACAAUGUAGAGACGGUGGUAUUCACAGCGCUCUACCGGCGGUUGGUGAACCGUCGCUGCGUUUUAUAAAGGCGGUUUAAACCGCCGGUAAAUCUCAUAUAAACCGUCGGCAAAUGUGUAUUUUACUGUGGUGGUGGUGACCAUCCCGAAGCAGUUAAACUACACCCUAUGUCUAAGUUUGCUAUUGAUCAGUUUUGCAUAUUGAGCAUGAUACAAUAUAGGGUACCUAGAUGGUUUUUUUUACAUGUUAUUGCAUUCUAGGGGUAGUGUAGUGUUGCUUGUUUAGCACUUGGACCUAGUAUGCAUGAUAUUGAGACGUAGUGAAUUGCAACCCUAUAAUGAGAUGGUAAUUGUGGAUAAGAACCGAGUAGUAGCUCUUAUAUGAUAAUGAGUGGUAUCUAGUAAAUGUUAAACACAAGAACGAGUGGCAUGAAAACCUUAGUGUAGUUGAAACACUAGGAGGUUGAGAAUUGGGAUUUCAUUGAUCCGUGAUAAUGCUAACCCUAGUUGGUAGGGUAUCCCCUGUUCACAAGGAUUGGAUUGUGCUCACAUAGCCUAUCUGUGCUUGCUGUGGUCGCUCCACACGAGCUGUGCACUCCAGAGUUUAGACACACGAGGGGCAGUCGUUGUGUGCUGCCUAGAUAGCCGCUAGCUGUCCGCAGGCGGUCUCGGGAGUAGUUAAGCAGUGAGACUCCUCCCCUAUGAGACUUAAAAACGUGAGAUUGAGGGCGAGCCUUUGGGUUAGCCAAGUGAUUGGGUAAUCUAAUGAAUGGCUUCAUUAUUGAACAUAGUAGUAUGGUAGCUAGCCUUUACUAUGAGUUGCAUGCAUUCAUUAUACUGGAUUAAGGCAUGAUAGAGUACUUGCACCUUUUCUUAUUGUUAUUGCUUUCAAGUUAUCUAUCUAUCUAUCUGCCUAUGCCUGCUUAGACCUAGUGGGGAGAUCGGCGGAGUCGGCGGCCAAACCUACUGAGAACUAUGGACAAUAGUUCUCACCUCACUUUGUUCCAGGGCCGAACUCGAGUACUCCCGGCGAGGAUCGUGGUAAGGGCUUAGCGCCCUAGAGGUUGUAGAUGCUUCCUUUUCGCAUUAGUAGUCACCCUAUAUACAUGCUUGAGAGUAGAUGAUGUAUAGGUGGUGAGAUAUUUGGAUGAAUGUAAACUUAUGUUUAUAUUUUGGAAGAAUGUAAAGUGAUCAAUGUAUUAAAGGCUGAAUGAAUGUAAUAGAUUAGUAUCUCUCUUUUAUUCACUUGUGUUCACUCGUGAUGCUUGUUCUUGGUUGUUUAGCACCGGUUGUGCUCUCGUUGUUGUUAUGAUCGUGUAUGUAUUCAAGUUGAAUUUCUGGGAACUUGUUGUACAUAAUCUCGUUGUUUGCCUUGGGCGGACAGGGGAGGUCCUGUCCAUUCGGCGUCUGUUCGACGCACCCGAACCGGACCAAAUUGGUAGCGGGUCUCGGGCCGUGACAGACCCAUAGCGAAUCACGAGGGAUUCUGCUUCCUUGGAGGACCGCCUUGUGCUGUUGGAGGACAUUAUCGCAAAAAUGGGUGAAAGGUACACCGAAAUGGCUGAUACUUUUAACUCAUUCAAUGAAGAUGACCACAGCAUGGAGGAAAGCGUAUCUACUGCCAUGAUGACCUUUUGAAGCGAACUCAAAAAGCUCUAAGGCAACAUGACUCGUCGUGAUAAGGAGCGAAAGAAACUGAUCAAGGAGCUUGUUACUCGAGUCGACGAGGUCGAGGACUUCAAGACGAGAGUAACGAUCUUUGAGAAAGCGGUGGCGCGUGGCCACGAACCCCAAAGAGAGUCCGCUUCGAAGGUACGUGUCCUUGAGCCUCAAAAUUUUAGGGGUACCCGCGAUGAGAAAGAGAUCGACAAUUUUUUGUGGCACAUGGAGCGCUACUUCAAGGUGUUGCGGCUGGACGACGAGGAGGAAAAAGUCCAGGCUGCAUCCAUGUACUUUGCUGACGACGCGAUGCUGUGGUGGUGUCGGCGUUCUGCAGAAGCCGAGAAAGGCCAAUGCAGCUUGAAGACGUGGGAGGACUUUGUGCGCGAGCUCAAGGCGCAGUUCUAGCCCGAGCACGUCGAGUACCUUGCGAGGAAGCAACUUCGACGGCUUAAACACACAGGGACGCUUAAGGAGUAUGUCAAGGAAUACUCUAAGUUGAUGCUGUCCAUCACUAAUAUGGCGGAGGAAGAUCGCUUAUUCUUCUUCCUCGACGGACUCCAACCUUGGGCAAACAAGGAGCUUGCAGGGCGCGACGUCAAAGACGUUGCCUCCGCAAUUGCCUUGGCGGAAAAACUGCUUGAGUGUGAUCGAGCGGAUUCAACUCGGAGCAAGGGGCUCAAAACGAGCAAGGCCAAAGGUGAAGGAGACCAUCGCGACCAAAAGAAGCGCAGGGGCCGCAAGAGAGGUCCUGUGCCACCGCCGAAGAACUUGACAUGCUACGUCUGCGGCGAGAACCAUUAGGCGAGGGACUGCCCAAACAAGAAGAAGCUGAAUGCAGUCCAGACCAAGCAGGGCGAGGGCAAUGCAGAACCGACGAAGAUGGGCGCGCUCAGGCUCGUCAACGCGGAUCAGGGGCUGGCAAGCAGUAGCAAGCCCCUCAACAAGGAGCUUAUGUACAUCAAUGCGACCCUUAACGGCAGGGCCACACGAGCAUUGGUGGACACGGGAGCCACUCACAACUUUGUUGCCGAAGUGUAGGCCAAACGGAUAGGUCUUCCCCUUGAGAAGGAUCCUAACAGGAUCAAGGCCGUCAACUCUGAGGCCCAACCUGUUGCGGGCGUGGCCAAGGGCGUGGCCAUUACGGUGGGACCUUGGAGAGGCACCGCAAACUUCACCGUUGCACCCAUCGACGACUUCCAAGUCAUACUAGGUAUGGACUUCUUGGCUUCGUCAAAGGCGGUUUCGAUGCCACACCUUGGGGCCUUAAGCAUCAUGGACGAGGCAGCCCCAUGCAUGGUCCUAGCGAGCAAGGAGAAAAUGGUAAGCACCCAGACCCUCUCUGCAUUGCAGUUGCGAAAGGGUGUGAACCGUGACGAGAUGACUUACCUUGCGGCCAUCCGCGAGGUGAGCGAUGAGGGCCUCGAUGAGGAGGGUCUUCCUGCGGAGAUUGGAGCAAUCUUGGCAGACUCCAGGAUGUCAUGCCAAAGGAGCUGCCGAAGCAACUUCCACCCAAGUAGGAGGUGGAUCAUGCCAUUGAGCUCGAGCAAGGGGGUUUUUUACCCAACUAGUCUCCUCCAAAACUUUUAUUCUAAAAAUAAGCCUAUGAAACUUUUAUUUACAAAAAUAGGCUCCAAACUCCCACGUGGGCAGUGAGUUGGCGGGGGAAGUUAAAAACGGUGAACCAUUUACCGCUUUCAAAUGAAUGCGGUAAAUGGUUCACCGCUUUCAUAAGGAUUUAAAAAUUCUAUGAAGGCGGUGAACCAUUCACCGCCUUCGUAGUAUUCCCCGCGAAGCUGAGAAAGCACUUAAAAACGGUGAAUCAUUUACCACUUUUAAAAGCGUUGAAUGGUUCACCGCUUUUAAAAGCGGUGAACCAUUCAUCGCCUUUAUAUGCGGUAAAUGGUUCACCGCAUUCAAGCUAUACUACAGCAAUGUAGCAGCAACUUUGCAUUUUUUCCACAUUAUACAAAAUAGUAAUAUUUUCAAGCAUUUCAAUUACAGCAAUAAAUACAUAAAAUCAUCUAUACCAACUUAAACCACACUUUAAGCAUAUAAAAUGAGCUAUACCAAUAUCGACACAUUUCAAUAUGAAUAAAUUUAGAUAAUACUCUAAAAAAUUAAUGUAGAAAGAUCUGAAAUAUCAAAUAUACAUAAGAAUCUCAAAAAUGAUAAAAAACAUCAAGUCCCCUCCAUUCCCCUUCUAUACUCUCACCCUCGUCCCCUGCCACGUCCACGUCCACGUCCGUAUCCACGACUGCGUCCUCAACUCCGUCCUCGAAUAUGUAUGUCAUGCUUCAUCUAAGGCUUCACAGGCUCAAUAACAUGCAUCUGAUCAAUAUGCUCGAUGGCGAUGCCCUCGACAAUCGGCUCCAUCUCUUGCUCAACAGCUAAUGGUAGUAUCCCUUCCUGCGUCUCAAUAUGACCCUAUCGUCGUCGCCUACGUCGAUAUACAACAUCAUUGCGAUGAACCUGUAGAGUAUGUCUCACCUUUAUCACGGCGCUUAACAAAAUAAUUGUUCACCUUAUAAAAUGUAGCGGCCACAAAUGCUGUGAUAGGUAAACCACGUACACCUUUAAGCACUCUAUUUAAACUCUCCGACUGAUUUGUCGUCAUUGUCCCAAAACGCCAUCCUCCAUCAAAUGCUCUCGCCCAAUAUUCCAUAUCUUUCAACUGCUCCUUAUGCUCAUAAUAUUCCUUUGCAGUUGCAGCACAUCCUAUGCUCGUAUAAAAUUUAUUGAGCACAUUUUUAUUUUUGAAACCGGCUUUUUUCAUGUUAGCCUUCAUAUGGCGGAGGCACCAACGGUGAGCAUGUCCCUCGCUUCUCGGAAACUCCUCCGCAACAAUCUCCUUUAACCCAGGAAAGCAAUCUGAAAUUAAACAAAUAGAUCGAUCAUGUGUCACUAAGACCUUUAAAUGUCGUAAAAACCAACGCAAACUAGCCGCAUUUUCUCCCUCAAAAAUAGCAAACGCCAAUGGGUAUAACCCAUUAUUGGCAUCUACACCAGCCGCAAUCAACGCAUGCCCUUGAUACUUUCUAUACAUAUGAGUUCCAUCAAUACUCAACAAUGGUCGACAAUAAGAAAACCCAUUAAUUGACGGCCCGAAUGCCCAAAAUACUCAUCCAAACUGCCUAACGCCAUUUGGUAGGAUUUAGGAUCAAGACACCAUUGAGUCCCGGGAUUCACGCGCUGUAGUAUAGAUAGGAAGCGACCAAGAUCGGUGUAUGACUCCUUCCAACCACCAUAAAUGAUCUGUAGUGCUUUACUUCUAGCCUGCCACGCUUUCGAAUAAGGUAUGUCUACAUGCAAUUCAUUACGCACCUUUUCUUUAAUUUUUGCCGAUGUCAAAGUAAGCUUUACCCUCAAUGAUGGGAGAAUAUGUCGACAUAUAAGAGAUGAAGUACAGUUUCGAUGUGCAGUGUUAAGCACCGGCACUCAACAUGUAUGUUGCCCGGUGUAUGUUUUAACUCUAAAAUAACUCACAUUCUUUAGUACCGAUGCAUGUAAUCUCCAAGGACAUGAAUCUACUCUGCAUUUAACCGUAUACGCCUUUGUCUUCGACUUUUUUACUUUCAUUUGCACGUUGUGAGCAAUAUGCCAUUCCCCAAGAGUGUGCAAUAAACUUGCUUUAUCACGAAAUACCCGACCAACCCAUAAGUCAUCAAUAGUAGGAGAGGGCUGUUCAAUCUGCAGACGAUCAAAUUCACCGUUAUCGACCACAUACUGGUCAAUUCAAUCGUCAUCUUCUACAAAUUGCUCUGGAUGAUCUAUGAACUCUCCACCUUCAUCCGGAUCAUCAACAUAUUAAUUAUUGAUAAUUGGAUCAUCACCCUCAGUAUAUAUGAUAUCUGCGAGGACCCCCAGUCCGCCAUCAUGAUCUGCAUCAUAGUAAUGACCUUCCGCCACAAUAUUCUCAUUUACGGCCAAAUUUGAAGGUUCAUGUUCAACACCCUCAUGAUCAGUAGCAUAACCGUCUUCAGCUACUUCUUGUUGCACUUCCGCCCGAUUUCCUAUACCGUUAUUUUCGGUUCCCAGUGGAUACGAUCCAAAGUCAUAGACAUCAUGAGAGGUAUGAAAUCUGCAAUUAUUUCGUAAUUAAUCACUUUCUAACUAAAUAAAAUAGUAAAUGAUUAUAUUAAUUCUAGCGUAUUGUAACCCUUCUUCACAUGAGACGCCUUGCUCUCUACCUAGUGAGGCAUGAGAACUAGAAGCUGAGGCAUGAUGAAUAGUACGUGGGAGGGGAGGAGGAUCACCAAUAACUAUAUUUGAAAAUUCGUACUCCCUACAAUUGAUGGAAGAAGGUAAUAUAAACAUUUGUUAUAUUAAAAUAAUUAUACAAAAUUCAUAUUUUGCAAUACUAACCUAGGUGCAUUUGCUCCUCCUCCGAUAUCAGCACGAAAAGGUUCUCUUUUGGGGGACAGGGGAUAAUAUAUCCACAUUAAUGUCACAAUUUAACAUUCUAGAAUAAUACCCCUGAGAUAAAACCAUAUGUUUUUCAAUGAAAAUUAUCAAACACGGAGGGUUUUCCGACAAUGCCAUCGCACCACACAGUGAGUCAUCGUCCAUAACUUCAACCACAUCGAAUUGAUUCAUUCCGGUCGAAUAUCGGAUUUUGAUAAUUAGACGAUACUCAUCUCUCGGAGUAUCGGUUAAUCUAUAUAUUUUUCUCUCGAAUUCUGUAAAUACAAUAUCCACUGGAAUACCACUUAAUUUCUUACGACCACCAACGUACUUUGGAUUGUUAUCGUGCGCCAAUAUUUCUCCAUUCCAAUGAACAACAAUAGCCACAUUACUACGCGUCAUCCUAACUUAAACAAAAUAUAAAAUUUGUAAACAAAUAUAAUCAUACCAAUAUUUGAGAUAAAGUGCAAAUUUUACUAUUUCUACACUCUCGAUGAGAUGGACCCAAAAUUUAUAUUAAAAAAUUUGGUAUACAAGUAGCAUUUCUCUUUCUUUUUUCUUAAGGGUUUAGGGUUUAGGGAUUUUAUCUAGUAUAUUUUUUAAAAACCAAUUAGAGAUUUUAUCUAAUUUAUUAAUAAUAUUAUCAAAUUUAAUAAAUUUAAUUAUUUUUAAAUAAACACAACUAAGUUAAUUAAUAGUUAAUAACAAACAAAUUGAGUGUUUAAAUCUGAUAAAAUUUUAAAUAUCAAUAAACUAACCUAAUGAAGCAAUGUAGAACUAACCUAAUGGAGCAAUGUCAAAAUAACUACAACUUUUUCAAUGUGAAAGUUGAGGAAUCAAUGUCAAAGUUGAGGAAAAGUUGAGGAAUCAACUCUACUUAGGAGAAACAAUGUAGAACUAACCUAAUGGAACAAUGUCAAAAUAAGUAACCUAAUGAAGCAAUGUCAAAAUAACUAACCUAAUGGAAUAAUGUAGAAGGAAUGCUUAGAAGAGAGGGCAUGGCAACAGCACAGGUGGGCACCGGCAAUGGCUGCAGCGACGGCGACGGCGGCGUCGGCGUCGGCGUCAGCGUCGGACUCGUUGGGUCGGAGUGAGGGAGACAGAGAGGAGUGAGUGAGAGUGAGGGAGGCAGUGUAGGAGACAGAGAGAGCUCGGGCGGGGCCAGUCAGGGAGAAAGGAAAAGGGUUCGGGCAGGGUUAGGGUAUAUCGACUAAAUGCGGUGCGGUGAACCAUUUACCGCAUAUAAAUGCAGUAAUCCAUUUACCACAUUCAUGCGGUGAACCAUUCACCGUAUUUAAAAGCGGUGAACCAUUCCCCACUUUUAAAUGCGAUAAAUAGUUAACCGCAUUAUGAAUGCGGUAAACCAUUUACCGCAUUCUUUGUUUUUACCACGCGGUGCACCUAGAUCCACAAAUGCGGUGAAUGGUUCACCGCUAUAUAUGCAUUAUGAAUGCGGUGAACCAUUCACCGCAUACAUGCAUUAUCCCAAACCCGCGCUGACCUGGCCUAUUUGAAGGCUAUUUUUACAAUAAAUUUUUAAGGAGGCCUAUUUUUAUAAAUAAAAUUUUUGGAAAGCCUAUUUAUAAAAAAAAUUCCAAGCCAGGAGCCAAAUCGCCAGCGAAAGCGCCAUAUAGAUGGCCCCGCCAAAGCUUGAGGAACUGCAAAAGCAGUUGAAGGAGCUCCUCGAUGUAGGCUUCAUUCGACCGUCGAAAGCAUCUUACGGAGCACCAGUUUUGUUCCAGCGGAAGAGCGACGGAAGCCUGCGGCUUUGUAUCGAUUACAGAGCGCUCAACAGGGUAACGGUAAAAAACAAGUACCAUAUUUCUUUGGUUGCAGAUCUCUUCGACCAAUUGGGCAGAGUGAAGUACUUCACCAAACUCGACCUUCGCUCUGGGUAUUAUCAAGUGCGGAUUGCGGAAGGAGACGAGGAGAAGACCACGUGUGUGACGAGGUACGGGGCCUAUGAGUUCCUUGUCAUGUUGUUCGGCUUGACGAACGCGCCAGCGACCUUCUGUACACUUAUGAACAAGUUGUUCCAUCCCUAUCUCGAUCGCUUUGUGGUGGUGUACUUCGACGACAUCGUGGUAUACAGCAACACCUUGGAGGAGCACAUCGAGCACUUGCGAACCGUCUUCCAAGUGCUGCGGGAGAACAAGCUGUUCGUCAAGAAGGAGAAGUGCAUAUUCGCGAAGGAAGAGGUGCACUUCCUUGGCCACUAGAUAGGCCGGGACCUGAUUCGCAUCGACUAGCGGAAGGUGCGAGCUAUCUGCGAAUAGGAGACCCGAACGACGGUGUCCGAGUUGCGGUCUUUCCUUGGGCUCGUCAACUAUUACCGCCGCUUCAUUGCGGGCUACUCUACGAGAGCAGCCCCGUUGACGGAUCUGCUGAAGAAAAACCACUCGUGGGUUUGGACCUUUCAAUGCGCGGAGGCAUUCGAGGACCUAAAGUGAGCGGUGACGAAGGAUCCAGUGCUGCGACUACCCGACUGCAGUCGCACCUUUGAGAUACAUACUGAUGCCUCUAACUUUGCCAUUGGCGGUGUUCUCGUGCAAGAUGGGCACCCCAUCGCUUAUGAGAGCCGCAAGUUCAACAACACCGAGCGGCGUUAUACAGUCCAGCAGAAGGAAAUGAUCGCUGUGGUGCAUUGUUUGCGAACCUGACGACACUAUUUGCUUGGAAGCAAGUUUGUGGUGCGCACCGACAACGUUGCCACGAGCUACUUCGAAUCGCAAAAGAAGCCGUCGCCUAAGCAGGCGAGGUGGCAGGACUUCUUGGCGGAGUUCAACCAUAGUUAGUUAAUUCGAAUUCGGCAAAAAUUCGGUACGGGUAUAAUUCGGAUAAAAUUCGUCUUUUAAUUUUUAAAUUCGUUGAAAAAUACGGCUAAAAAACGGAUUCGAUAAUUAUUCGGAUACGUGAUUUAUACGGAUAUUAUACGUCCACCAAUUAAAAAUUCGGCAUCAAAAAUUCGGCUAUAUAAUAAAUAUAUAAUAAUUAAUAUACUAUAUAUAUUAUUAUUAUAAUUUUUAUAUAUAGAUUAAAUAUAUUCAUAUAUUAAUAAUAAAAAUAUAUUAAUAAUACAUAAAAUUUAUAUAUUUAAAAUAUUAAUAAAUAAUUAAAAAUUUAUAAAUAAAAUAUUAUAUAAAUAUUUUUAUAUAAAAAUAAAAUAAUAUAUAAAAAGAGCGGCGACGAAGUGUCGGGCUGGGUUCUACGCCUGGAUUGGCCUGUGAGUGAACUGAAUCCGCCUCCGCCUCGGAUGCGGAUCCGGUCUGGAGAAGCUACAGAGAGGAAGUGCAAACCCAAGACCCGAACAGGGCAUUUCCAUAGUUCACCCCUUGGAUGCGGAUCCGGUAACGCUACAGUGAGGGAGCGCGAACCCAAAACCCGAACAAGCUUCUUCUUCACAAAACUCGCCGCCGUCAUUACUCCUCUUUGCCAUGGAUCUUCUCUUGUCUUCCUCUGGUUCCUUCACCUUAUCCUACUCCUACGCUUCCCACUCAGGUCAUGGUAGCACCAUGACAAUCCCUUCCCCUCAACGCGAGCGGCGACGAGAGCGGCGACGACGAGAGCGGUGACGACGCAACCGCGAUCGCCGGAUUUUUGGGCGAAUUAUUCGCGAAUCGCGAAUAAUUCGCGAAUAAUUAUUUUUGAUGAAAAAAUCGCGAUUUUUUUCGUACUUUUCGGAAAAAUACGAAAACCACCGUUUAAUUCGUAUCUUAAAAAAUACGCGAAUAAUUCGCGUAUUAAUCGCGAAUUAACUAACUAAGAGUUCAACAUGAAGAUUCAAUAUAAGCUCGGGAAGGAAACCGCGUGGCUGAUGCUCUCAGCCACAAGGCUGAACUUGCAGCCGUGUUGCAGCUUCACGAGACACUUCGCGAUCGACUUCGUUCAGGAACCAACGAGGACCCUAUCACUCAAAAUCUAGUGCAGCUUGUCAAUGAGGGCAAAAUGCGAAGGUUUUGGCUGAGCAACGAGCUGCUUCUUACCAAGGGGCGACGGGUGUACGUGCCCAAGUGGGGCAACCUUCGCCGCGAGCUCAUCAAGGAGUGCCAUGACUCCAAAUGGGCGGGCCACCCAGGUCAGAAGCGAACCCUGGUGUUGCUCGAGGUCGCCUACUUUUGGCCGCGGAUGCACAAAGACGUGGAGGCCUACGUGCGAACUUGCUUGGUGUGUCAACAAGACAAAGUUGAGCACCAGCGACCUCGCGGACUCCUCGAGUCAUUACCUGUGCCUAGCCGUCCAUAGGAGAGCAUUUCUAUGGACUUCAUCUUUGCCUUGCCAAAGGUGGGGGUGCUUGGGUCCAUUCUAGUGGUGGUUGAUCAUUUUUCCAAGUACGGGACCUUCAUUGUAGCGUCGGCCGAUUGUACUGCUGAAGAAACGGCACGCCUCUUCGUUAGCCACAUCGUCAAACUUUGGGGGAUCCCCACGAGCAUCGUGAGCGACCGCAACCCCAGGUUCACUGGCAAGUUUUGGACCGAGGUGUUCAAAAUCUUGUGGUCAGAGUUGCUCUUCUCCACCAGUUGGCAUAUACAGACCGACGAGCAAACAGAGCGAGUGAAUGCUCUAUUGGAGGAGUACUUGCGGCACUAUGUGAGUGCCAAUCAGAAGGAUUUGGUACAUCAUCUCGAUGUCGUCCAGUUUGCUUACAACUUGCGGCGCAGCGAGUCUACAGGCUGUAGCCCCUUCGAGUUGGCGAUCGGACGGCAACCACUUGCCCCUCAUACGACCGCUGUGGGAGAGCAGUUCCACAGCCCAGUUGCUCUUCAGUUUACUACUAACUUGCAGGAAAAGGGUGAAAUUGCUAGGGCAAACUUGGAGAAAGCCUCACGACGGAUGAAGAAGUGAGGUGACGAAAAGCGACAGCCUCGUGAGUUUGCCGAGGGUGAUCGCGUGAUGGUCAAGCUUCAUCCGCAGCAAUUCAAAGCCUUGCGGAAGGUGCACAAGGGACUGCUGUGCGAGUAUGAAGGCCCAUUUACUGUCGUCAAGAGUGUUGGCAGGGGGCCUACAAGCUGCAGUUACCCGCGAACCUCAAGAUCCACCCCGUCUUUCAUGUCAGCAGGUUGAAGCUGUACAACGAAGAUGCGGAGAAUCCGAGCCGAGGAGUGUCGCAGCGAGCACCUGCGACUAUGGUGACUUCGUUCGACAAAGAAGCGGAGUCCAUCCUGGACACUCGACUCAUUCGGCGAUGUGGAGUUACGCCGAAUCCUGAGUACUUGGUGAAGUGGAAGAAUCUCCCCUUCGGCGAGGCAAGUUGGGAGAAAGCGGAUACACUUUGGCAGUACCAAGCGCUCAUCGACGAGUUCCAGAAGCAGCGCGCGAUGAGCACGCCUGCGCAUUAGGUGGAGGAGGGUGUCAGGGACUUAGAAAAAUUUCUAUGCAGCUCGGUCCCAGGCCCAAAUCUGCUUAGCGAGUUCGGGUUGGAAACGGGUUGAAUCAGGUUAUCAAGGAGACCCAAACCCAACCCACUGUGGAAAACUUAAGGGUUAUGAAACUCAUAAGAGUUAUGGGUGACUCUUGAGCUUUUGGCUAUUAUGAGGGCUCAUUAUGUAUGCAAUAGUGGGUGAGUUAUGUGGCUAGUGGGUGAGUUAUGAGGGCUCAUUAGGCCUAUAAAUAGUGGGGUUGGCUAAGGCCAAGACACACAAGAGAGAGUGUGUUGUAUGCUGUAAUCUCUUUUUCUAAGCAGUGUAGUACUUAGUUUUUUUUUUAGAGAACCUCUGUCUCUUUCUCUUGUUAUUUUUCCUUUGCAUACUUAGUCGUAGGACGCGAAGGUCCGGACUACCAACAGAGACAAAGGCUUGUCCAUCUUCGAGCAGGAAAGGUAGGCGUCGCACGGGCUUUGCGAAUGAAAACGCUAAGUCCGUGACACACCGCUCAAAAUGUUUAAGCCGGGUUAAGACUUUUAGCUCAAUUAUAUCUUAUAUAUAAAACUACUUGGGGUCUCACAGCUCCCACACCCAUUGCAGGACCUUGCCACUCAUUCAUCGGCUCGUAGGGGCCCGAAAUUAAGGGCAACUUCCAACCUCUCGGCCACAACCCUCUAGACUCCUAUAAUUCCUGUAAUUUUAUUCUUUCAUAUUAUUUAUUUAAUAUAAAAUUUUAUAUUUUUAGCAUUUGACUACCAUUGUCGCAUUCACGUUUGUUGUGCCACUGUCUUCGUCACCGAGGAGUAUCAGAUUCACUUAAUUUAAGAAAGCUAUUCAAAUUCAGUUCUACCGGUAUAUAUUAUUUUGGUUGUAUUUUUAUAAUUCAAGAUUUAGGGUUAGGGUUUAGAAGUUGCUACUUCUAUACCACAGUCACACACGCACAUACUGUUUAUAGAUCAUACAUAUGAUAAAAUUUUGUUCGAUUUAAGAUGAAAAACAUGUAUUUAUUAUAAAUAUACAGUAUUACAGCAUAACAGAACAGUGCUGUAAGGUUUCAAAUUUUGUUGUUUGAAUGUGGAAUAUAUAUUCAUUGCAAAUGUACACUUUAUUGGUAGAAUAGUGCUAGAAAUCCACCGGUACAUGCUAUUUUAUUUAUAUUUAUAUAAUUUAUAAUUUAGAAAUAGGGUUUAGAAAUUUCUACUUGUAUACUGCAGUCAUACAAACACUGUCACGCCCCAAAACCGCUACCAAUUUGAUCCUGUUCGGGUACGUUGAAUAGAUGCCGAACUGACAGCACCUCCCCUGUCCGCCCAAGGCUAAACAACCUAAUCAUGUACAAGAAUUUGCCCAGGAGAAGAAAUUCAAUACAUACAUGAUCAACUAGAAGCACACAAGUGUGAUACAACUAAGAGCAAGAACCACAAGUGUAUAUACAAGUGUAAUAAAGAGAGAUGCAACUAGCUAUUACAACUAUUUAACAUUUACAUAAUUGAUUACAUUACAUUUCCAUCUUCCAAAAUGUAAUACAUGGUCAUCUCCAAAAUACAUGGGUAGCUCUCCAACAACUAUCAAAAUAUACAUCAUCUAGUACACGAGAGUACUCUAUAUGCAUGUAGGAAAGCUACUAACUAACUAAGGGCGCUAUGCCCUUGCCGCGGUCCUCGCCCGGUGUACUGGUACUCGGCCCUGCAACAACGUGGGGUGAGAACUAUAUAAAUAUAGUUUCCAGUGAGUUCGGCCGCCGACUCUGCCGAUCUUCCCACUAGGUCUAAGCAGGCAUAAGCAGAUAGAUAGAUAGAUAGGUAGAAAUGUAAACUGCAACUAUUCUACCAUGCCUUCAAUGCGAUGCCAUGUAUGAAAUAAUCAUAAUGCAACAGUAUACUAUCAUGCUAGUAUGAUGUCAAAAGUAUGUAUAUGUAACAUAGCAAUACAAUCUACAAUAUACACUAUGUUUACUCAAGGUAAGAAUGCAAUUCUACUAUGCUAUUCAUGUUCAUUACACAAUUUACCUAGCUAACCCGUAAGUUAAGUCCUCGACUCAGUUUCAAUCUCAUAGGUGAGGAGAAACUGUACUCGCACACCGAGACCGUUUGCGGGACAACUACAUCUGCCCCUAGGUGAAGUACUCCGGAGACCACUGCUUCGGUGGAGCGACCACCGACAAGCGAAACAGACUGGUCCAAUCCUCACAAGAGGAUACCCUAUCUACUAGGGUCAUAGUGCCUCUGCUGCAUAAUCACAAUGCAUAAUCAAAUGCCGGGACUUCUACCAUCCCUAAGUUCAUGUCAUGUUUACUACACUAGACUCAAUGCCACUCGUUUGAUCAUUUGUAGUAAGUUUUCUAGUUAGUUGACAUGCUACUCGCUCAUGUUUAGUGUUUCUACUACACUAGUUCAAUGCCACUCAUCUAGGCUGUAACAUACCGAACUUCUAAAACUUUUAAGUUACGGUGUACAUUUGGUUGAAAAGCCAUUUGAAUAGUCCCGGUGGAGUUCGGUAAAGUUCUGGAGCAAUCGGGCGUUUCGGUGCGCGUAGGUGCGAAAACGGAACCCGAAAGGCUAUUUUUGACCAUGGACUAAAUCCAGCAUUAGCGUGGAUGAAAAGAUGAUGAAAACAUGCUUGAAAACAUAUUUGGCGAGUUUCGGUUCGAUUUGAAACGAAUCGGAUGUCAAACGAGCGAAAACGAGAGAAAACAGAGCGAAAACGGUGAAAAUGCUGAAAAAUUGGCUAAGUCCUAAAAAAAGGCUGUGUACCAGUGACAGGAUUUCGUGUACCGGUACGCAGUGUAAAAUCCGAGAAGAUGGCCCUCGGGUUUGGCUGUUGCGCGAGUCGUGUACCGGUGACACCAGCCCGUGUACCGGUACGCGGGGGACCCGACAGCACAAUGAAGUCUACUGCAAAUAAAAAUAGUUGGGGGGCUUAUUUGCAAUUGUGGCACACCCCAUAUGUUCCCAAACACCCCUUCACAGCAGCAAACACCUCUCUCCUUUAUUUCUUCUCUCUUUCUCUCUUUAAAAGCUCUCCACCAAAGCUUAAAGAGAAGGAGAAGAAGGUCUUGAAGGUGGAUUUUGAGGGUUUUGGAGGAUCAAGAGCUCUCCUUCAUGGUGGACUUGGAAGAGCUUAGGCUAAGGUGAGUUAUUUCGCAAGAAUACUUCUAGGGUUUAGAUUUAUAUCCUAAGAUUUAGUGUUUUGGACUUCUUGUAAGACUAGAACCUCUCUAGAGGCUUGAGCUCCAUGAAAAUCUAUGGAAGCUUAGGGUGCUCUCAUGGUGAUCACCUAGGGUUUGUGUUAGAUGCCUUAGGGUUGGUCCAAUUAGGUUGGAGAUGAUAUUAGAGAGCUUCUUGGGUGGUUCUAAGCUUGAUUAUGCUUAGCAACAAGAUCAAUCCCAAGAAAUCUCAUUAUGGCAUUGUCAGGGCACCAAAUUUGGAGCUUUUGCCUCCGGAUGUUUCCGAGGUAAAUUGACCUUGUAGAACCCAAUUGGGAGUAUAACGAACGCGUUGGUGCGCUCGGUUCGACAAUUCGACGAGUGUACGUGAAGUUAUUGACGAAACGGUCUGUUUUGGUACAGAUAGCCGCAGCACGCGGGAUAGACGCCCAAAAAUCAUGAAAAUGGAUCUGGAGCAUCGUGGUAACGGGGAAUAAACUCCCGAACAGACGGAUCACGGAUUGGUGGCCGUUCGGGUGGUCGCACAAGAGUUCGGGCCAAACCGGGUCACGGGUGCCACGGGAGGCCGAUUGCAAGUGACUACAAGCAAUCGGAACGCGUUAAAAGGUGGGUUGUGCUCACCGAAGCGACUAGGUCGCCUAUAUGUCUAAGUGUAAUGGUUUUCUAAUUGAUGCAUAUAGUUGAUGUUAUUUACUGUCGUGAUAAAAUGCAUAAUGACAUAUAAUGUGUUAAAUGCUAGAUGAAUGCAUGAGUUAAUUGUCACAUGAAUGCAUGAAAUUAAUGUUAUACUAAUAUGUUAGAGGUAAUAUGCAUGUUAAUAAAUUAUGGAACAUGUUGGAUGGCAUAUGAAUGGUUGGUAUAUAUAUGUAGACAUAUUGUGGAAUAUGAUGAAUGAGUGCAUGUUGAUUUAUUGUAGAAUAUACUAGAUGAAUGUAUACUGACAUAUUGUGGAUUAUGUUAAAUGACACAUGUAUGUUGAACUUGGGUCGAUAAACUCUAGGUGAAUUAGAGAACUCGAUAUUGGAAAACAAUGACAUAUGAACUAUGAUAUGUGACGUGGACAAUCUAUAUAUAUUAGAUCGAGUGGCAUAUGAUUAGUAUAGUGGAAACAUUUAUGGCAUGUUGAACACUUAGAAAACAAGUGUGUCAUGAAUCCGAGAAUAUAGUAGUGCAUAUGACACAAGUGAUAGUAAAGAAUGUAAAGAAAAGAAUGAUUGAAAUAUUAUGACAUUUCAACCCUAGAGUUAGGGUCAUUUGAGUAUAGUCUUCCUAAAGUUAAGGAAUGGAUUGAACUUGACAUCCUCAAGAUUUUGGAUUUGAUCAUUAAUCAUACUCACCUUUAGUCCUUGCUCGAGGUUGUGGUAGCUCCCCCUCGGGCGAUGUGUUCCGGAGUCGACAUCACUGGGUUGUAACGGUUAUCUCCCCAGAGGACGGUCCCACCGGGUUGUAGCGGGUAUGUCACGCCCCGGGACCGAUACCAAUUUGGCCCGACCCGAGCACGUCAAACAGACGCCGAACGGACAGAGUUUCCCCUAUCCGCCCAAGGCUCAUCACAUGUACAUUUUCAUCAAUAGAGAAAAGCACUAGCGGAAACAUACACAAACGGCUUACACGAGGGUAAGCAAUUGCCACGAGUGAAAGAAAGGAAAACUAAACAUUCGCUUGUACUGUGAUUCAAUUUAGAUCAUAUACAUACAUCCAACUUGUAAUUUUUUUUGAAUUUCUUACAUUUCGUUUCAUCAUUUCUUUCGUACAUCACAUUUACCACAAAAUACACAUUACAUUCUCUUCUUUACAUCAUUUAUCAUCAUGUACAAAAGAUGAUCAUAGGGUACUUUACUACAAAAUGAAACCCAACUUUGGUGGCCU